GAAAAGAAUCGCUCCCCUCCCACGAGUUCCCAAAAAAGGGUUUGCCCUAACUUCUCACACCUGACCCCUGCGGCGGUGCGGCCUGCCACCGACCCCUGCGGCGGUCGCCCUCUUCCCUUCCGGCCGGUCGUCGAACGCCAUCGCGGAAGCCCUCCUCUUCAGAAAUCGAAGACCGAAGAUCGGGUCCUUCACUCUUCAGAAAUCGAAACCCUCCUCGUCGCCUCUUCCUCUUCCGCUUCCGCUUCCGCUAUCAACGCUAGAUCAGUAAAUCGGGUGGUUCUUACAACAGGUACGCGAUUUGAGUUUUUCGGUGGUUCUUCAAAGCAAAGUUGCAGCGUUUAGUCCAUCUGAUGGAUACUUUUUUAUACACAAUGGUGAGUGCUUAAUUGAAUGUGUCCAUUCUUCUGUUAUGCACAAAGAAGACCCAAACAUAGUGUAAAUAAUAAUCUUAAUUAACUUAGGGACCAGGAACUCUUGAUAUUAUACUAGUCAAUUUAUAUCUUGUCGUCACUUGCAAAGGAAAAUUUUGUUGUGGUCUUUCAUGGACAAUUGACUCAGUGGGUUUCUACUUAAUUUUUGAAACAUAACUUUUUAGUAUUAGAAAUGCAGCAAUUUUCACUAUAUAAUGAGAAGAUCUGGAGAAUAAGAGUUUGAAAGUUUAACUGUAGAAUCCUUCUCUUUCUCUAAACUCCGGGUUUCCUAUAUUAGUCUGCGUUAAGUUUUGUUAAUUGUUGUUACAUUCAUUAAUUUGCUUAUUGUUGUAUGAGAGUGAAGAUGUCUAGCUUUUAUGUAUGUUUAUAUGUGAAUUGUGUGUUGUAUCUUUAUGUUUAUUCAAGCUUUUAUGUAUCUUAUAUAAUUAAUAGUGAACUUUAUGUAUCUUUUAUUUAUUUACUGUUUAGACUUUAGAAUUUAGAUAUGCUAGCAUGCAGUUUGGAAUAUGCAAAGUGCAAUUUCAUUUGUAUUAGUUUUAACUAUGCUUGUAUGUGAACCGUUUAUAUUUCUACCAUUAUAAAUAUGGACUAUCUUGAUCUCUAUUUGCUUAAUUAUUUCUUUAUUUUGAGGCAUAAUAUAGUUUACUAUUUUUUUUUACUUAGUUUAAUUUUGUAGCUCUUUAUUCUUAUAUUCUUAAAAAAUAUGAAUAUUUAUGCUAAUAGCAUAAAUCUUGAGAGAAAAAAAAAACUUAAUUUAGUAGCCGAAUUUUUGAUCCCGAAUUUUUAAUCGGUGAACGUAUAAUAUCCGUAUAAAUCACGUAUCUGAAUAAUUGGCGAAUCCGUUUUUUAGCCCUUUUUUUCAACGAAUUUAAAAAUUAGAAGACGAAUUUUAUCCGAAUUAUACCCGUACCGAAUUUUUGCCGAAUCCGAAUUAACUAACUAUGGCCACAACCAUUAUAAUCUAGCAUUAUAUUACUAUAUUAAACCAAAUGUUAUAAUAUAAUAUCGGUACCAAUUUGAUUCAGAAAUUUCAUAUACCUAAUUAUGUUAAAAUAUCCAGUAAUACUAUACAACGCGAACCAAACACGCCCAACUAUCUAGCUUCCAUUUCUUACUCUAGACUCAUCAACUUGAAUAUAUGUUAUAUGUAUCAUUAGAACUAAGUGGGAAGGAGAAGGAAAUGAGCAAAAAUAUAUAAUUUUUGUUUUUAUCUACGAGUGAUAACACAUCGCGCAGAUUGCACUAGUUUGGUUGAAAUAUAAGUUCUGGUUAACUACGUUCCGAAAAAAUAAAAAGAAAAAGAAUAUCUGUGUAUGCUUCUAUUCCAACCCCUUCUGGUCUAAUAACAUGCUCCCUAAAAGUUGAAAUAGAAAGGAAUCAAAUCAAGGAUGGGGCUUGAGUAUUAAGAAAUUAUCAACCACCCAUAUAAUAACCGACCGUCCCUAAAGCAAGUAGCAAAGGGCUUGGUGGUUGGUAUCCGAGGUCCCAGGUUCGAAUCCUAGUUGAUUCACAUUUUCAGCUAAGUUUAUUUCUAAAUAAAAUAAACGAAGCGGAUAGCGUGCUAUCUAUCUCUCUCAAAAAAAAAAAAAAACCACCCAUAUAAUAGGGGACAAAAAAAAAAAAUUAGAGUUGAGAUCCAUGUAUAAUACAUAGCGUAUAACACUUCUAUUUAUUUAUUUUUUUUUUAGAGAUAGGUAGUAUGCUACCCACUUCGUUUAUUUUAUUUAGAAAUAAAUUUAGUAAAAUAUGAACCAAGUAGGAUUCGAACUUGGAAUCUCGGAUACCAACCACUAAGCCCUUUGCCACUUGUACUAGGGACGGUCGGUAACAUCUCUUUUUGUUUAAACACCAUUUCUAUAUAUAAUCAACAAUAUUAUCCUGAUUAGACUCUUAUUUAUACCCUUGACAUAAUAUAAUUGAUAUGAAAUAUAUCCUAUGUAUUGUAACUGUUAUAAAGAAGACUUUUUUUUCGCUUGAUAUUUGUGCGCUAAUUUGGACCCGAUCGAGUCAGCAGUUUUUGUUAACAAAAAAAAAAAAAAAAAAAAAUUUCCUAAAGAGCGGUUUCUCGAGGAGGACGCAAUUCCAUUUUGCAACGUCUCUUUGUAGACAGUCGACGGCCUACGGAAUCAUGAGAUAGCGAGCGGCAAAUCACUACACCUCCUGAAGGACUUUUCUGAUUGUUCGAGCAUCCGAGUUUACGGUGUCUCGCUUAACACUGUUUUUUGACAGCUCACGAUAUACCAUUCGUUAUGUCGCGGUUCAAGCACUCCAUUUGAUUUGGUAUGAAUCCAUAUAGUUGCCGCAUACCUCUUCGAAACGUGUCGAUCACCACUAUUUUUGACUUCCUCGCAGCUUAUGGCUUGUGGAUUCGACUUCCCUGCGAGGUAUAUCGGCCUCCCACAGUCAUCGAGCAGCAGUAAAACUCUUGUUCUUUAAGACAGUUUGAAGAGAUCGCAAGAGAGUAUGCGACGUUCGGUUAUGCUUCGAAUCUGGUUCAAGUAAGAAGGCCAAUUUUCUCAGCUAGUCAGCUUGAGGUUCCUACUUGCAACCUUUUGGACGCGCGGUAUCAAACGACAUGAUCAUAGCGGUAAGCUUCAAAAUCGCGAGAAGGUGAUUGUGUUGAUUGGCUUUUGCAGCAUAGUUGGUCUUUCUAUUCCUCACAUUUCCCAUACGCCGACCGUCUCGACUUCGUCGAUCUAUUGAGGUGCGAAGGUAUCAUUCUCUAGAUUAGAUUUGCUUCGAUAACGGCAGAUGCAAUAGCAUCUCCUCGAUUGGAGGCGGAGCAACUAACGGCGAUUCUUCAGAAAGCGCCUCCCUUGAUCAACAACUCCAUCACUCGUUUAGUUAUCUUCGACAUCUUCGACAUGAUCCUCAUGUUUGCAAUAAUGUCAAGAGAGAAACCCGCAGCAUCGGCCAUCUUUUCAUCGUAAGCGUUUUUACGCUUCCACUUACCUUCCGAAUAGCUUUUCGACACUUUUGACCAUUCUUUCGCUUCGACUGCUUGACAUGGUGGUUAGUGUGUCUUUUUCUGCGAUGUCGUAUUUGACGACUUUUAUAUCAUCUCUUCUUAGCUUGCAACCUUUUCGUGAGGAUGUUAGCUCUUUGCGACGUUCCACUCCUUACUUUACGGGAUACGCCAAGUGAACCAAGGUAUUCCAUACUGAGACAAACCACGGUGACGAUUGAUCCGAUAAAAAGAAGCCAAAGCCACUUGCUCAAUCAAAGAAAAAAGAAUAGCUGGUAAAGCGAGUUACUUUAGUUUGUAGAGAGAUGAUCUCACUUUACAUUGAAAAUAACGCAUCAGGUUCGACUACAAAUAGGAACAAAAGUAGGAGUUGAGUAAUGAAAUCUCAAACGGUUCCGAUAUUGCAUCAUAUAAAGUGCCGAGAUGCUUAGGAAUUGUGUGAUCGGAUUACCUUUACUGCGAUCGUUGAGUGUAAGCGUUAGUUCUUCAAUGCAUGCAAUGACUCAUCUAAGGAAGAAGGAACAAAACUAGAUUUCAGUUGAAAGAGCGUCAUUGCGUGCAGACGAUGGAAUUACAAGAUCCGUUCGAAUUUUAUUGCUAAUUGCUGAUGAAGUUUCUCAUUUGGUUUUGAGGACGAAUACAUUUUAUUCGUCAUCUGCAUGCGUUUACUGCACGAUGUUUAAUACACUAGACCAGCUCCACAGAGUCAAGAUAUGGUCUCUUGUCCAUUGUUCGUCCAAGCUUGUAUGAUGGAUGCAGUUUUACCAAAUAAAGUGUUUUUCUUCUCAUGGUUGCAAACUGUCUAUGCUCGACCGCUCCCCUAGAGAAGCAGAUGAACGGGUUUGGGUGGUUGUACAUGAGGUUCAGUUCGAAUCCUUGCUGAUUAUAUUUUUGCUUAGUGUUAUUUUUCAAAUGAAGAUAACGAAGUUCGGUUGUCUGCUCACGAUAUCUCUCAAAAAAAUUGUUUUUAGCACAUUACAUUACAUUUUUACUAAGUGGUAUCCGGAUAUAUUUAGACUUUCAAAUGGCAGCAGAAAUUUACAUCAAGAGAUAUUAUUGCGUAUUAACUGAUAGCGAGCGUGAAGUAUUUGUAUUACUGAUGACGAGUAAUCUUGCGUUUAUGUAAAAUAUAAGUUUACCUCUCGAACGACAUUCCCAAACUAUUGUUGAUAUUCAUUUUUAAACAUUAUUUACAACAUUUUGAGAUUGCCAAUUGUAAUUUUUAAGUUUCUAUUUUAAAUUAUAAAUUUAGAUUUUAGUAUUAUUAUUUUAAAUUUAGAUUUUAAAAUUAAAAUUUUAAUUUUAAUUUUAAAUUUUAAAAUUUAAAUCACAUUUCAAAAUUUUAAAUUUAAAUGUUAAAAUUUAAAUUGUAAUUUAAAAUUUAAAUUUUUAAAUUUUGAUUUAUUAUUUUUAAAAUUUUUAAUUAAAUUUUUUGCCAAAUAUAACAUAAGGCAAUUCAUGAAAUAGACUAUAUAUUUUAGGUGUAAGAUUACUGAAUUUAUAAAUGAACAAACAUAAUAACUUUUAUUUAUUAUAAUAUCGAAGUCUGGACUACUAUACUUUUAGAGUAUAGAGCCUCUUGUACUCCAUAAGGGUUUUUUUGCGUGUUGAUCUAACUUAACAUUUUAUUCGUCUAAGAUUAUUACUAUUCAAACAACAACCUCAACCUAGGGGCCACUAUAAACCUAACUCGUACACUACUUGUAUCCUACCGCCACAUUUUUUAUCUGAGUAAGGUCAAAAGUUGUAUGAGUUAAAGGGCUCUAGUAUCAUAUGGUAUAGUUAGCCCAAACCAUAGUUAGUUAAUUCGCGAUUAUUCGCGAUUUUGGAAAUACCGAAAAAUAAACUUCCGUUUUCGUAUUUUUCCCAAAAUUCGAGCAGAUAUUGCGGUUUUUUUCUUCGGGUAAGAGGGAUUAUUCGACGAAUUAAAUGGAUUCGAUGCGAAUAAUUCGGCCAAAAAAUCGGCCCAGAUCAAGGUUUGCCUGCGCUCCCAACAACCCCACUCUGCCUCAGGCCUGCACGACUCACCCUGUGCCCAAAAGGCCGAAAAAAAAAAAAAACAAAAACAAAAACAAAAACUUGUUGAAAGAUCGACCCCUCCACGAGUUCCAAAUAGGCGUUUGCCCUACUUCUCACACUCAUGACCCUGCGGCGGUAGCGCACGCCGACCCCUGCGGCGGUCGCUCAUUUCCCUUCCGGCGAGUUUCGUCGAACGCCAUGCGAGUACCCUCUUUACAGAAAUCGAAGACGAAGAUCGGGUCCCUUCACUCUCGAGAAAUCGAAACCCUCCUCGUCGCUCUCUUCUCUUCCGCUUCCGCUUCGCUUCCGCUAUCAAUGUCUGAUCAGGUAAUCGGGUGGUCAUUACAAACAUUUAGCGCGAUUUGAGUUUCGGUGUUCUUCAAAGCAAAGUUGCAGCGUUUAGUCCAUCUGAUGUACUUUUUAUAUACACAAUGUGUGACUGCUUAAUUUGAAUGUGUCCAUUCUUCUGGUUAAUGCAACAAAGAAGACCGCAAACAUUAGUGAUAAAUUAAUAAUCUUAAUUAAUCUUAGGGACAGGAACUGCUGUAUUAUACCUAAGUCAGAUUUAUAUCUUGAUACGUCACUGCAAAGGAAAAUUUUGUUGUGUUCUUUCAAGGACAAUUGACUCGUGGGGUUUCUACUUCAAUUUUUGAAACAGUAACUUUUUAGUAUUAGAAUGCAGCAUUUUCGAAAUAUAAUUGAGAGUCUGGAGAUAUAAGAGUUGAAAAUGUUUAACUGUAAGAAUCCUUUCUCUUUCUGCUAAACUCGGGUUUCAUAUAUUAGUCUCUGCGUUAAGAUGUUGUUAAUGUUUGUUACAUUCAUUAUUUGCUUGAUUUUGUAUGAAGAGUGAAGAUUCUUAGCUUUUAUGUAUGUUAUAUUCCUGUGUGUUGUAUGCUUUAUGUUUAUCAGCUUUAUGUACUCUUAUAAUAUUAUAAGUGGAACUUUAUGUAUUCUUUUAUUUAUUUACUGUUUAGACUUUAAGAAUUUUAGUAUGCUAGCAUAGCAGUUUUGGAAUAUUGCAAAAGUGCAAUUCAUUUGUUAUUAGUUUGUAACUAUUGCUUGUAUGUGAACGUUUUUAUAUUUCUACCAUUAUUUUGAUUCUCAAAAUUUAAUUUAUUGCAAUUUCUUGCUCAAUCUUUCUACAUCAUUGCAAGUGCGACGACUCAAUUUAACUUAUUAAACAGUGAUGUGUCGCUGAUGUAGUACUAGUUUAGUAGCAUUAUAAUCCAUAAAUGAUAUUUAUUAAGAUGCGAUAUCACUGUCACAUUACUGAAAUAUCAAUUUCCAUUCUGUCAACCUAAAGUUGAAAACUAAAUUGAAGAAGCUUUUUCUACGUAUCAUGAUGAGAGAUGUACUAUAUAAUACAGUUUUUAUUCAAUAAUAAAUGAUUAUUUUUAAGUCAACGCAGAAACUUUUACAGCUUCAACUUGGACAUGUAGAAAGAAAUUUAGAGCAUUUUUCAUAGUAAAUAAAACGCAACAAGUUCGACAUUGUGAUUAAAUUUCUUUUCACUUGUCACUCCAGUGGCAUUUGAUCUCCAAAGAUCAGUGCAAGAUAAGCCGAAAACUGCAGUGCGGUGCGCAUCAUCGGCUCUCGACGUGCGAAAAAGGAGCUUGCAGAUGACAUGAACGGGUUCGUAUCCAAAUCCGGCUCGAAAGUCUCAAGACUGUUCUCAAACACUUUGAAAAAGGAUUGGAACGUCCGUCGCGCAGUGUCAUUAUCCCCCAAUUCUAACUGAUCUGACCAUCCUUUUUCCGCGCGAAUUUGUCGUAAUCUGCUGACCCUGCUGGCCUCUAACUGGAAGGGAAGUUCCUGCAGCAAUGGGCAGCCAUACACAUCCAAGUAUUCCAAGGAAGGGAAGGCCAACUUCUGAGCACAAAAUCUCUCCAACCUUGGCAGGUGAUGCAGCUGCACUAUCCUCAGCCUGGAAAAUGCAUGCAUUAAAUCAUUAGCAUCUUCUGCGUGACCGAUCACUUCCACCAAAUUGUAGCAAAAUGAUAGAUCGAGUUGUUCGAGGUACGGGAUCUUCAGUAUCCAAGAAAUGUUGACUAAGUUGAAGUUCUCGACAAUAAUGACCUGACGAAGCUUCGUAAGCUGCACCGUCAAGUGGACCUUCUUCAGCCUGUAGAGGCGCCAGAAAGUGAGGAACUCUAGCCUCGAAGGUGACUUGCCAGCAGACCGACCGACUUGUUCGCUUCUGAUCGACAACUCUUCUAACUCGAAACAGCUUUUGACAUUCAAAACUAUGGUGCUGCUAUGCAAAUUGAGGCAGAGGGAGCACUCCCCUUUCAAUCGGUAUAUGCCGAGAAGGUAUAAGUACACAUCAGAGCACUCGGAAAGCAUCUGAAGAGAUCCGACUGUUCGUACAGAAAUCCCGAGUGAUUUCAGGCCUUUACCCAAGUAGUGCAAUUCUUCCAGACUGAACUCGCUCUUUUCGUUCGACGUCUGACGAAGAUCAUACUUUGUUUCCGUGCUCUUAUGAAUCUCCAUCUCAAAGCCCGAAUACUUGCUCUUAAACAAGUUCAGAAACUGUAGCAUGGAUAGUUUGGAUAUCACUCCACGCGGAAUCGUUUUGAGGUGAUCGGUGUAACUCAGAUUCAAGAAUCUUAAUUCCGUCAGAAAUCCUAAUUCCAGAGGGAGUGAGACUAUAUCUGAAUUUCUAAGACUGAGAUACUGCAAUUUGACUAGCGAACCGAUUUCUCGUGGAAGCUCUCUGAUGCAAGUCCAACUUAAAUCCAAGAAUGUCAGCGCGCGCAUGGUUCGGAAAAAUCCGGGCGAGAUGGCCUUCAAAUGAAAGUUUUGCUGGAGAGUCAAGAGCAAAAGAUUAGGACAAUUCGGAGAUUGCGGCAGCUCUUUUAUACAAUUACACAUCAGUGAAAUUCGCGAAGCUCUUGUCCAUAUGCCUGCAUCACUGUUCUGCACUUUCUCCAGGCCAACUCCUGGCUGCACAAUCCAUUCCAGCUUCUUCUCUUCGGAUAGCGAGGCCACGCAGAGAGCCAUGUCGCGGAUAACGUCGUGAACUCGUACUUCUUUAUCGCUCGCGUCGCCGUCUUCCAACAAGCAUGCUUUCUUCAAUCGUUCGAUGCGGGAGAAUCCCUCAUUGUAUGCAUCUUCGAUCGUCGAGCGCAUCGGUUGUAACCCCAACGCCAUCCAGAAAUCCACGAGCUCGACUUUCCAGAUGGAAUAGCCUUCAGGCCACAGGGCGCAAGUCAAGAAGCAUCUUUUCGUCUGCUCGUCUUCCAAACUGUCAUAGCUAAAUCUUAUUGUGCUAAGCACAGGGUGAGCAUCCUUCAUACAUGAAUUUCCCGAAAGACGCGUGUUCUCGAGAGACGCGAUAGCGUUCUCCCAUUCUUGCAACGUCCUCUUUGUAGACAUCGAACGGCCUACGGAAAUGAGCGCGAGCGGCAAUCCACUACACCUCCUGCAGACUUUCCUUGCUAAGGAUUGUAUUCGAGCAUCCGAGUUUACGGUGUCUUCGCUAACACUGUUUUUGAACAGCUCCCACGCGUUGUCGGGUUCCAAGCACUCCAAUUUGAUCUUGGUAUGAACUCCCAUGUUGCCGCAUACCUCUUCGAACCGUGUCGUCAACACUAUCUUUUGAUUCCUCGCGCCAUUAGGCUGUGGAAUUCCGACUCCUGCGAGGUCUAUCGGCUCCCACAGAUCAUCCAGCAGCAGUAAAAACUUCUUGUUCUUUAAGAAGUUGAAGAUCGCAGAAGUAUGCGACGUCGUUAUGCUCGAAUCCUGCUUCAAGUAGAGGCCAAUCUUCUCAGCUAUGUCCAGUUGAAGGUUCUCUAACUUGCAACCUUUUGACGCCGCGAUACAAACGACAUGAUCAUAGCGGAAGCUUUCAAAAUCAGCAAGAAGGUGAUUGUUGAUGGUUUUCAGCAGAGUGGUCUUUCCUACUCCUCCCAUUCCCCAUACGCCGACCGCUCCGACUUCGUCGUCUUUGAGGUGACGAAGUAUCUUCUCUAGAUUAGAUUGCAUUCCGAUAACGGCAGAUGCAAUAGGCAUCUCCUCGAUCGGAGGCGGAGGCAACUCAACGGCGAUUUCUUCAAAAGCGCCUCCUUGAUCAAACAACUCCAUCACUCGUUUAAGCUUCUUCGCAGCUCUUCGACUGAUCCUAUGUUUGCCAAUAAUGUCAAGAGAGAACUCCCCGCAGCAUCGGCAUCUUUCAUCGUAAGCGUGUUUUACCGCUUCCACUUCACCUUCGAUGGCUUCGACCCUUUGUAACCAUUCUUUCGCUUCGUGCUUGCAUGUUUUAUGUCUUCUUUCUGCGAUGUCGAUUUGGGCUUUUAUAUCAUCUCUUCUAGCUUGCAACCUUUUCGUGAAGAUUGUUAGCUUCUUGACGUUCCCUUCGACCUUUACGGGAUACCCCAAGUGCAACACCAAGGGAUUCCAUAACUGAGAUAAAACCACGCUGACGAUUGAUCCAAAAAAAGGAAGCAAAGCCAUUGCUGCAAUCAAAGGAAAAAAGAAUUAGCACGGUACAAGCCAAGUUACUUUAUUUGUCGAGAGAUGAUCUCACUUUAACAUUGAAAAUAAACCGCAUCGGUUCCAAUCAAAAUAGAACAAAAAGUAGAGUUGAAGUAAUGAAAUCAUCGAAGGAACCGAUACGGCAUGAAUAAAGUGCACAGAGAUCUGUGAAUCGGAUUACCUUUACUCGAUCGUUGUGUAAGAUCUAUUCUUCAAACAUGCAUGCUCACUACUAAACGAAAAGAAGGAAAACAACAUAGAUCAGCUCUCGAACAUGAAAUUGAUCAAAAGCCGAAAGUUGAAAGUUCAUUGCGUGCAGACGAUGGAAUCACAAGAUCCUCGAAUUUCAUGUUCUAAUUUGCUGAUGAAGUUUUUCAUUUGGUUUUGAGAUGAAUCAUUUUCUUCAUCUUUGCGCGUUUCUGUACAUGUUUAGUACACUAGUCCAAGCUCCACAAGUCAAGAUAUGUCCUUGUCCAUUGCUUCCGUCCAAGCUAUAUGAUUGAUGCAGCUUUUACCAAAUAAAGUUUUUCUCUCCAUGUUGCAAACUAGUCCUAUUUACUUCUCUCUGACCAUCAAUGUAUCUAGUAUCAGUUUUAACUCGUUUUUUAUUAUCUAAUUCUAUGUUUCAUAUAAUUUAUUACUUCAUUUUCCUCCUUUCUUAGAAGUUUCAUGUUAUAGUUUCAUAAUCAUAUGUACUCACAUACACCUCCCCUACAAAUGUUAGUUUAGUUGAAAACUUAACCUCAACCCAAAAAUCAGGUGAAUUAAGUAAAAUGUAACUGUGCAAUGUAACUCAGUACACACUUGUGUGUACAUAUUAAACGCAAAGCAUAUGUAUUUUAGCUCGUUGAAUUGGCAUGGCGAUUCUGCUAAAUUUAACAGUUUUUACCUGCUUUUUAGCUGAUCGAAUUGUAGGCUUCUUUAACAUCGACGAACCGUAAGCACGAUCCCCAAUUUCAUUGACUAAACACUAACUCAACAACAAAAAAAAGGGGGGACCGAUCAUCACUAGAGCAAGUGGCAAAGAGCUUGGUGGUUGGUAUCCGAAAUCCAAGUUCAAAUCUUAGUUGAUUCAUAUUUCCAGCUAAGUUUAUUUCUAAAUGAAAUAAACGAAACGGAUAGCGUGUUACCUAUCUCUCAAAAAAAAAAAAAAAAAAACAACAAAAAGGGGGUGGGAAUGUAAUAUUAAAAAGUUUACUUCAAAUUGUUUUUAUAGCACAUAUAUACAUUUUUACCCCAAAAAAAAGAUUGGUGCAGGACAACACUUUCUAGCUCCCAUUUCUUACUCUAGACACAUCAUCUUUAAUAUAUAUGUAUCAUUAGAAUGGGAAGGAGAAGGAAAUGAGCAAGAAUAUAUAGUUUUUGUUUUUAUCUACGAGUGAUAACACACGGCGCAAAUUGCACUAGUUUGGUUAAAAUAUGAGUUCUGGUUAGGUGUGUUUGGUUCCAAAUCGGAAUCGGUAUCGAAAUCGGAAAGAGAAUAAGCUGAAAACGUAAUCAAAAUGAUUACCUCAUUCUGUUUAGUUUACCACCUAAAUUGGAAUCGAAAUGAGCUAUUCUUGUUGUCGGUGCUUGAUUUAGAUAGAUAACAGAAAAGUAAUUAAAUUAAUAUGUCAAUUUUAUCUUUAUAAUAUAUUAGUUUAAAUUCAAAUUGAAAAUUAAAUAUUAAAAAUUUAUGUCAAAAUUUUAAAAUAAUAUCAAAAUUUUCAAUAUAUUUUUUAAAAAAAUUAAAAUUUGAAAUUGAACGGAUAAUUCUAAAUAUAAAACUAAAAUUUGAUUUAUUCAAAUUCAAACUUAAAAUUAUAAUUUAAAUUUCAAUUUGAAUCCAAAAAGUUAAUUUAAAUUUUAAAUAAAAAUUUGAAUAAAACUUUAGAUUUUAAAUUAAAUUUAAAUUCAAAUUUAUAAAUUAGAUUCAAAAUGCUUGAUUGAGUUUUAAUUUUUAAUUUAAGUUCAUAAAAUUUAAAUUUAUAAAUAUAAUUUUUAAACAUAAACUUAUAUUUUAAUUCAAAAAUAAGCUUAAAAAAAUUAAAUUUAAUCUGAACAAAAUCAUUCCGCCCGAAUUCAAUUUCCAAACCAGCCUAGAUAAGUGGGGGGAUUUCCACUCAUCCGGAAAUCGAAUCGGAAUGAAAUUUUACAUACCAAAUACGGACAAAACAGAUUCAUCCAUUCCGAUUCCGAUUCAAAAGUGAAAAAAGAGCGAACUCUUUGACUAUUUUUAUUCAUUAGAUUAUACUAUUCAGUCAAUAACUCACUCUCAAUUCCAGAGAGCCCACAUCUUUCUAUCCGUACUUUUUUUUUUUUUACUCAAGGGCUGAAAAAUAAAAAUUGGCUAUCCCCGAAUUAAUCGCCGAAGGAAAAAAAAAAAACGACUUAACUCGGGCGCACGCGGCAUGGUGUGUUUGGAUUGCCGGAAAACUGAUCCGAAAAUUUUCUUUUGCUCGAAAACUAGUUUUCGGAUAUUUGGUUGUCUGUAAAACAAAAAAUUUGAAAAAAACUUUUACAGAUUUUGAGAAAAGAUUGGGUUUUUGAGCGGAAAACGAAAACCCAUAGCCAAAAAAGGCACGGCUCUUGGGAGAGGAUACACGCGGUCCACGAGGUCACUUCACCUCGUGUGCUCCUCUCCCUCUUCUAUCAUAUAUUACUAGUGAAAUACUCGCGCAAUGCUGCGGAUAUAAAAAUAUUUUUAUAAUAAAUGUUAUUUUUUUAAUAUAUUUAUAUAGUUUUAUAAGUUUAAUUAUUAAUUAAAUAAAAGUUAGAAAAAAUUAAUUUAAUCGUUAAAUCUAUUUAAAUAAAAGUCAUUAAAAUGGAUAUAUGCACAAAGUAAAUUUAUACAAUAAUUUAUUUUAUAAAUAUUUAUAUGAAAAUAAUUUGAGAUAAAUCUAUCAAAAUAAUUUUAAAAAAUCAAUAAAUAGAAGAAAAAUAAAAUUGUAAAAAAAAAUUAUUUAAUAACAUUAAUUAUAUAUACACAGAAAUACACUAUAUUUCUAAAAUUUAAAUGCUCUAUUUUUUUUAUACAGCGAUACUUUACGCGAUUUAAAUUGCAUCUAUUAGGUUAUAUUUUAUUACGCAAUUUAUUAUGCGUAUUAUUAAUAAAAUUAAUUAACUAUAUUAUAUAUUAUGAGUUAUUAAUAAAAUUAAUUAAUUAAUUUCAAAGAGUUUAGAGAUUUAAAAUUUUAAAUUGAAAAUAUAUUAUAAAUUAAAUUUAAAUUUAAAAAAUAAAUAUAAAAUUUGAAUUUAAAAUUAAAAAAUUGAAAGUAUCAAAAUUUUAAAUUUUGAUAUCAAUAUAUAUAUAUAUAUAUAUAUAGGAGAGAGAGUAAAGGGGGGUUUGGGGGACACGUGUCACCGCUUGGUCUCCCAAACCUUCUUUAAUGUAAGAAAAAAUAUAUUAUAUAUAUUAAUUAAUAUAUAUAUAUAUAUAUAUUUAUUUUAUUUAUAAAUAUAUUAUUAAUAUAAUAUUUAUUUAUUUAUAAUAUUAUUUAUAAAUAUAAAAAAAUUUCUUAUAGUAUUAAAUAUAUACUAUUAUAUAUUAUAUUUAUUCCUAUUUUAUAAUAUAUGUUAAAUAUAUUUUAUUUACAAAUAUUAAUUAUAAUAAUAAUAUUGAACUAUGCUGGAAUACUAUUAAUAGCACCAAUGACAUGGUGCUAUCCCUUAGAAAUUUACUUAUAGUAUUAAAUAUAUACUAUUAUAUAUUAUAUUUAUUCCUAUUUUAUAAUAUAUGUUAAAUCUAUUUUAUUUACAAAUAUUAAUUAUAAUAAUAAUAUUGAACUAUGCUGGAAUACUAUUAAUAGCACCAAUGACUUGGUGCUAUUAAAUUUUCUACCCUUAGAUUAAAAAAUGUGCGGUUAGAAUGAUGUGAGCCUUCUAGGGUUAAGUGGACGGUUGGUUGAAUAGUAUAAUCGAACGGAUGAAAAUGAUAAAAGAAGUAAAUCUAACGGUAAAAAACUUGAUAGCACCAAAUGCUUCGUGCUAUCGAUAGUAUCCCAGCCGGACUUUAAUAAUAUUUAUAUACUAUUAUAAUUAUUAUAUAUCAAUAAUCAAUAAUAUAUAAUAUGUGAAAAAGACAAAAUAUCUAUUAUUAUAAUUUUUUUUAUUUUUUUUUUUCCUUUCAUCCAAAUAACCAUAACGAUUUUUUUUUCUUUUCUACAAAUCAAACACUAGCGAACGUAAAACUUUUUUUCCACAAAAAAAUUUUUCCAUCGAAAAUUAUUUUUUAGAAUUUUACAUUGAACCAAAUAGCCUCUGCAUUUGGUUGGAGGGAUAUCCCAGAACAAAGCGGGAUAUCCCCUUUAUCCCCCCAAACACAAUGCAGGCUUAACGGGUUAUUCGGGAGUAACCCGUUAAGGCCAGUUCUCCCUUGCAUGGAGAAUGACUCUUUUUUUUUUUUUCCUAUUAUGCCCUUUUAUUUUCUUUAUACUUUAUUUUAAUUAAUUUCAAAUAAAUCAAAUGAAUGCUCAAAUUUUAUGCUACUAAAUUAAUGUUUCUAAGGUGGUUUGUAAACAUAUUAAAUUUGUGAAAUAAUUUGCUCUUCUAUAUUUAAAAUUAUAUAUUUAUAUUUAAUUUUAAUUAGUUUCAAAUAUAUAUAUAUUUUUUGAGAGAUAGGUAGCAUACUAUCCGCUUCGUUUAUUUCAUUUAGAAAUAAACUUAGCUGAAAAUGUGAAUCAACUAGGAUUCGAACUUUGAUCUGGGGUACCAACCACCAAGCCCUUUGCCACUUGCUUUAGAGACGGUCGGUAGUUUCAAAUAUAAAAUUGGAAGUAUAUUUUUACUGUUAUAUUCAAAAUUAUAUUAUUAUAUAUUAAUUAUAUUUCUAUUCAUAUAUAUUGAAUUAUAUUUUAUUAUUAUAUUCAAGGGUAUAAUUGUCAUUUUACUUAAUUUUUAUCAAUUCAAUACCUUAUUUCAAUAUAAACAUCCAAACACAAUAUAGAGAUAUCCUCUAGAACAAACAAAUAACAUCCAAAUGUAAUUUAGAACUUGUUCUAGUUUAUUCUAGAAUAUUCUCUGUUCUCGAUAACAACAAAAAGUUAUUUUUUAAAAUUUAGUUCUCGAACAAAACGCAGGAUUUAGGUUUUUUUUUUUUUUUUUUUUUUGAGAUGGGGGUACAAGCAAGUUACUUUAUUUGUCUGAGAGAUGAUCUCACUUUAACAUUAAAAAUAAACCGCACGUGGUUCAAUCAAAAUAGAAAAAGCUAGAGUUUGAAGUAAGAAAUCAUCGAAGACCGAUACGGCAAUGAUAAGUGCACAGAGAUCUCGUGAAUCGGAUUACUAUUACUCGAUCUUGUGUUCAAGAUCUAUCUUCAAACAUGCAUGCUUACUACUUAAACGAUAAAGAGGAAAACAAAUAGAUUGAGUCUUCGAAACAUAAUGAUCAAAAAGUCCGACAAGUUGAAAUUCAUUGCGUGCGACGAUUGAAUACAAGGAUCCUGAAUUUCAUGUUGCUAUAAUUGCGUGAUGAAGUUUUAUUUUGUUUUGAGGUAUUGAAUCAUUUUUUUAUCUAUUGCGCGUUCUGUACAUGUUUAGUGACACUAAGGCUCAAGCUCCACAAGUGCAAGACUAUGUCCUUGUCCAUUGCUUACAGUCAAGCUAGUUAUGAUUGAUGCAGCUUUUACGCAAAUAAAGUUUUUCUCUCAUGAUUGCAAACUAGUCCUAUUUUACUUCUCUUGCGACCAUCAAUGUAUCUGAGUAUCAGUUUUACUCGUUUUGUUAUUUCUUAAUGUCUAUGUUCAUAUAAUUUCAGUCUAUUCAUUUUCCUCCUUUCUAAGAAUUUCAUGUUAUAGUUUCAUAAUCUCAGAAUGUACUCACAUAACUCCGCCUAAAAUGUUAGUUAUUAGUUGAAAUACUUAACCUCAACCACAAAAAUCAAUCGGCAAUAAGUAAAAUUUAACUGGCGCAAUGUAAUGAAUAAUGCUCAGUACACACUUGUGUGUACAUAUUAAACGCAAAGAAUAUGUAUUUUGCUCGUUGAAAAUUGGCAUGGCGAUUCAUGCGUAAAUGUUUAACAGUUUUUACCUGCUUUUUGUUAGGGCUGAUCGAGAUUGUAGGCUUGCGUUUAACAUCGACGAACGUAAGCACGAUGCCCCAAUUUCAAUUGAUAAACACUAACUCAUGCAACAAAAAAAGUGGGGACGAUAUCAUAGAGCAAGUGGCAAAGAGCUUCGGUGGUUGGCUAUCCGAAAUCCUGAGUUCAACUCUUAGUUGAAUUCAUAUUUCCAGCUAAGUUUUAUUUCUAAUGACAAUAACGAACGGAUAGCCCCGUGUUACCUAUCUCUUCAAAAAAAAAAAAAAAAAACAACAAAAAGGGACGGUGGAUUGUAAUAUUAAAAAGUUUACUUCAAAUUGAUUUCUUAUAGCAAGAUAUAUAUUUACCGCCAAAAAAAAAGAUUGGUGCAGGACAGAACACAUUUCUAUCUCAUUUUAUUAUCUCUUAGAACAUCAUCUUUAUAUUAUAGUACAUUUAGAAUGGGAAGGAGAAGAAAUGAGCAAGAAUAUAUAGUUUUUGUUUCUAUCUCACGAGUGAUAACACACGGCCGCAAAUUGCACUAGUUGGUGGUUAAAUAUGAGUUCUGAGUUAGGGUUGUUUGUGUUCCAAUCGGAAUCGCGUAUCGAAAUCGGAAGAGAAUAAGCUGAAAAGUAAUCAAAGAUUUCAAUUUUUUGAGUUUACCACCUAAAAUUGGCAAUCGAAAUGGAGCUAUUCUUGUUGUCGGUGCUUGAGCUUAGAUAGAUACAGAAAAGUAAUAGUAAUUUAAUAUGUCAUUUCUAUUUUAUAAAUAUAUUAUGUUUAAUUUCAAAUUGAAAAUUAAUUAUUAAAAAUUUAUGUAUAAAGUUUUAAAAUAUACAAAAUUUAUCAAUAUAUCUUUUAAAAAAAUUUAAAAUUUGUAAUUGGAACGGCAUAAUUCUAAUAUAAACUAAAAUUUUAUUUCAUAUCAAAUUCAAACUUAAAAUUAUAAUUUAAAUAUUCAAUUUGAAUUCCAAAAAUGUUAAUUUUAAUAUUUUAUAAUAAAAAUUUGAAUAAAACUUUAGAUUUUAAUGAUUAAAUUUAAAUUCAAAUUUAUAAAUUAGAUUCAAAAUGCUUGAUUGAGUUAUUUAAUUUUUAAUUUAAGUUCUUAAUUUAAAUUAUAAAUAUAAUUUUUAACAUAAACUUAUACUUUUAAUUCAAAAAUAAGCUUUAAAAAAUUAAAUAUUAAUCGAACAAAAUCUAUCCGCCGAAGUUCAAUUCAACCAGCUAGAUAAGUGGCGGGGAUUCCAAUCAUCCGAAAUCGAAUCGGAUAAUUUUACAUACCAAAUACGGAAGACAAACAGAUUAAUCCAGUUCAGAUUCCGAUUCAAAAGAUGAAAAAAUAGAGCGAACUCUUUGAACUUUUUAUUCAUUAGUACUUAUACUAUUUCAGUCAUAACUCACUCAUCAAUUCCAGAGAGCCCAACAUUUCUAUCCGUUACUUUUUUUUUUUUUACCAAGGCCUGAAAAUAAAAAAUUGCUAUCCCCGAGAUUAAUCGACGAAGGAGAAAAAUAAAAAAUUAACCGGUUCGCGCAGCUGGCGUAUGGGUGUGUUUGGAUCGGAAACUGAUCCGAAAUUUCUUUUGCUCUGAAAACUAGUUUUGCGAUAUUUGGUUGUCUUGUAAAACAAAAAGAUUUUUGAAAAAAUUUUUACAGAUUUGUGUAGAAAAGAUUUUGGGUUUGAGCAGGAAACGAAAACCAUAGCAAAAAAGGCACGGCUCUUGGGACGAGGUACACGCGGUCACGGGCGUACUUCACCUGUGUGCUACCUUCCCUUUCUCUAUCAUAUAAUUACUAGUGAAAUACUGCGCAAUGCUGGGAUAUAAAAUAUUUUAUAAUAAAUGUUAUUUUUUAUAUAUUUAUAUAGUUUUAUAGUUUAAUUAUUAAUUAAAUAAAGUUAUGAAAAUUAAUUUAAACGUUAAAAUCUAUUUAAAUAAAGUCAUUAAAUGGAUAUAUGUCACAAAGUAAUUUAUACAAAUUUAUUUUAUAAAUAUUUAUAUGAAAAUAAUUGAUGAUAAAUCUAUCAAAUAAUUUUAAAAUCAAUAAAUAAGAAGAAAAUAAAAUUUAAAAAAAUUAUUUAAUAACAAUUAAUUAUAUCUACACAGAAAUACACUAUUAUUUAAAAUUUAAAUGCUCUAUUUUUUUUUAUACAGCGAUACUUUACGCGAUUUAAAUUGCAUCUAUUAGGUUAUUUUUUAUUACGACAAUUUAUUAUGCGAUUAUUAAUAAAUUAAUUAACUAUAUUAUAUAUUAUGAGUAUUAAUAAAAUUAAUUAAUUAAUUUCAAAGUUUAGAGAUUUAAAUUUUAAAUUUGAAAAUAUAUUAUAAUUAAAUUUAAAUUUUUUAAAAUAAAUAUAAAUUUGAAUUUAAAAUUUAAAAUUGAAAGUAUAAAAUUUUAAAUUUUGAUAUCAAUAUAUAUAUAUAUAUAUAUAUAGGGAGAGAGAGUAAAGGGGGUUUGGGGGACACGUGUCACGCUUGGUAUCCAAACCUUCUUUAUGUAGAAAAAAUAUAUUAUAUAUAUUAAUUAUAUAUAAUAUAUAUUAUAUUUAUUUUAUUUAUAAAUAUAUUAUUAUAUAUAUUUUAUUUAUUAUAAAUAUUAUUUAUAAAAUAUAAAAAAUUUACUUAUAAUAAUGACCUGACGAAGCUUCGUAAGCUGCACCGUCAAGUGGACCUUCUUCAGCCUGUAGAGGCGCCAGAAAGUGAGGAACUCUAGCCUCGGAGGUGACUUGCCAGCAGACCGACCGACUUGUUCGCUUCUGAUCGACAACUCUUCUAACUCGAAACAGCUUUUGACAUUCAAAACUAUGGUGCUGCUAUGCAAAUUGAGGCAGAGGGAGCACUCCCCUUUCAAUCGGUAUAUGCCGAGAAGGUAUAAGUACACAUCAGAGCACUCGGAAAGCAUCUGAAGAGAUCCGACUGUUCGUACAGAAAUCCCGAGUGAUUUCAGGCCUUUACCCAAGUAGUGCAAUUCUUCCAGACUGAACUCGCUCUUUUCGUUCGACGUCUGACGAAGAUCAUACUUUGUUUCCGUGCUCUUAUGAAUCUCCAUCUCAAAGCCCGAAUACUUGCUCUUAAACAAGUUCAGAAACUGUAGCAUGGAUAGUUUGGAUAUCACUCCACGCGGAAUCGUUUUGAGGUGAUCGGUGUAACUCAGAUUCAAAGAAUCUUAAUUCCGUCAGAAAUCCUAAUUCCAGAGGGAGUGAGACUAUAUCUGAAUUUCUAAGACUGAGAUACUGCAAUUUGACUAGCGAACCGAUUUCUCGUGGAAGCUCUCUGAUGCAAGUCCAACUUAAAUCCAAGAAUGUCAGCGCGCGCAUGGUUCGGAAAAAUCCGGGCGAGAUGGCCUUCAAAUGAAAGUUUUGCUGGAGAGUCAAGAGCAAAAGAUUAGGACAAUUCGGAGAUUGCGGCAGCUCUUUUAUACAAUUACACAUCAGUGAAAUUCGCGAAGCUCUUGUCCAUCUGCCUGCAUCACUGUUCUGCACUUUCUCCAGGCCAAUUCCUGGCUGUACAAUCCACUCCAGGUUCUUCUCUUCUGAUAGCGAGGCCACGCAGAGCGCCAUGUCGCGGAUAAUGUCGUGAACUCGUACUUCUUUAUCGCUCACGUCGCCGUCUUCUAACAAGCAUGCUUUCUUCAAUCGUUCGAUGCGGGAGAAUCCCUCAUUGUAUGCAUCUUCGAUCGUCGCGCGCAUCGGUUGUAACCCCAACGCCAUCCAGAAAUCCACGAGCUCGACUUUCCAGGUGGAAUAGCCUUCAGGCCCCAGGGCGCAAGUCAAGAAGCAUCUUUUCAUCUGCUCGUCUUCCAAACUGUCGUAGCUAAAUCUUAAUGUGCUAAGCACAGGGUGAACACCCUUCAUACAUGAAUUUUCCGAAAGACGUGUAUUCUCGAGAGACGCGAUAGCGUUCUCCCAUUCUUGCAACGUCCUCUUCGUAGACAUCGAACAGCCUACGGAAAUGAGCGCGAGCGGCAAUCCACUACACCUCUUGCAGACUUUCCUUGCUAAGGAUUGUAUUCGAGCAUCCGAGUUCACGGUGUCUUCGCUAACACUGUUUUUGAACAGCUCCCACGCGUUGUCGGGUUCCAAGCACUCCAAUUUGAUCUUGGUAUGAACUCCCAUGUUGCCGCACACCUCUUCGAACCGUGUCGUCAACACUAUCUUUUGAUUCCUCGGGCCGUUAGGUUGUGGAAUUCCGACUCCUGCGAGGUCUAUCGGCUCCCACAGAUCAUCCAACAGCAGCAAAAACUUCUUGUUCUUUAAGAAGUUGAAGAUCGCAGAAGUAUAUGACGUUAUUCUCGAAUCCUGCUUCAAGUAGAGGCCAAUCUUCUCAGCUAUGUCCAGUUGAACGCUCUCUAACUUGCAACCUUUUGGCGCCGCGAUACAAACAACAUGAUCAUAGCAGAAGCUUUCAAAAUCAGCAAGAAGGUGAUUGUUGAUGGUUUUCAGCAAAGUGGUCUUUCCUACUCCUCCCAUUCCCCAUAUGCCCACCACUCCAACUUUGUCGUCUUUGAGGUGGCGAAGUAUCUUCUCUAGAUUAGAUUGCAUUCCAAUAACCGCAGAUGCAACAGGCUUCUCCUCGAUCGGAGGCGGAGGCAACUCAACGGCGAUUUCUUCAAAAGCGCCUCGAUCAUACAACUCCAUCACUUGUUUAAGCUUCUUCGCAGCUCUUCGACUGAUCCUAUGUUUGCCAAUAAUGUCAAGAGAGAACUCCCCACAGCAUCGGCAUCUUUUAUCGUAGGCGUAUUUUACAGCUUUCACUUCACCUUCGAUGGCUUCAACCCUUUGUAACCAUUCUUUCGCUUCGUGUUUGCAUGCUUUAUGUUUUCUUUCCGCGAUGUCGAUUUGCGCUUUUAUAUCAUCCCUUCUAGCUUGCAACCUUUUCAUGAAGAUCGUUAGCUUCUUGACGUUCCCUCCGACCUUUACGGGAUACCCCAAAUGCAACACCAAGGGAUUCCAUAACUGAGAUAAAACCACAGUGACAAUUGAUCCGAAAAAAGGAAGCAAAGCCAUUGCUACAAUCAAAGGAAAAAAGAAUUAGCACUGCACGACGGAAUGAGAAUUACAGCAGAAGUGAAGGCGCAAGCCGAAUUCCUUUAUUUAUCGAGAGACGAUCUCACUUUAGCAUUGAAAAUAAACCUCGCCGGUUCCAAUCAAAAUAGAACAAAAAGUAAAGUACAGGUAAAGAAAUCAUCAAAGGUUCCCAUAUGGCAUGAAUAAAGUGCAUAGAGGAGUGUGAAUUGGAUUACCUUAAUUUACUCAUUGUGUAAGAUCUAUUCUUCAAACAUGCAUGCUCACUACUAAAGAAAAAGAAGAAAAACAACAUAGAUCAGCUCUUGAACUUGAAAUUGAUCAAAACCCGAAAGUUGAAAGUUCAUUGCGUGCAGACGAUGGAAUCGCAAGAUCCUCGAAUUUCAUGUUCUAAUUUGGUAAGAAAGAAGGAUUGUACAAGGAACCACCUCUUGCUGAUGAAGUUUUCAUUUGGUUUUGAGAUGAAUCAUUUUCUUCGUCUCUGCGUGUGUCUGCACAUGUUUAAUACACUGGACCAAGCUCCACAAGUCAAGAUAUGUCCUUGUCCAUUGCUUUUCUCAAAACUGAAGAACGCUUAAGAUAACAAAAAGGACUGGUUCAAAGUCCAACCUAUAUGAUGUAUGCAGCUUACCUAUGAUGGAUGCAGCUUACCAAAUAUAAGUUUUUCUCUCCAUGUUGCAAACUAGUCCUAUUUACUUCUCUCUGACCAUCUUUGUUUCUAGUAUUAGUUUUAACUCGCCUUGUUAUUAUCUAAUUCUAUGUUUCAUAUAAUUUAUUACUUCAUUUUCCUCCUUUCUUAGAAGUUUCAUGUUAUAGUUUCAUCGGCAUAUAGUUGAAAACUUCAACUCAACUCAAAAGUCAGGUGAAUUGAGUAAAAUGUAACUGUGAUGCAUAAAUUAGUAAAAAUGUAACUCACUACACACUUGUACAUAUUAAACGGAACGCAUAUAUAUUUUAGCUUGUUGAAUUGGCGUGGCGAUUCUGACAAGUUUAUUGGCGAUUCUGACAAGUUCAUUGGCGAUUCUGCUAAAUUCAACAGCUUUCACCUGCUUUUUAGCUGAUCGAAUUGUAGGCUUCUUUAACAUCGACUAACCGUAAACACGACCCCUAAUUUCAUUGACCAAACACUAACUCAACAACAAAAGGGGGAAAAAAAAAUGGUAAUAUUAAAAAGUUUACUUCAAAUUGUUUUUAUAGUACAUCUAUACAUUUUUACCCAAAAAACAAAGAUUGCUGCAGAAUAACACUAAUUAGCUAGCUUCCAUUUCUUACUCUAGACACAUCAACUUGAAUAUAUGUAUCAUUAGAACUAAAUGGGAAGGAGAACGAAAUGAGCAAAAAUAUAUAAUUUUUAUUUUUUAUCUACGAGUGAUAACGCAUCACGCAAAUUGCACUAGUUUGGUUAAAAUAUGAGUUCUGGUUAACUACGUUCCGACAGAAAAAUGAAAAAGAACAUCUCUGUAUGCUUCUGUCCCAACUCCUUCUGGUCUAAUAACAUGCACCCUAAAAGCUGAAAUAGAAAAGAAGCAAAUCAGGAAUGGAGCUUCAAUGAAACAUGGUGCUUGCUUUCAUCAUCCAAGCAAAAAAAGUAAGUAGAAAAGAAAAAAAUAACCAAUAUUAAGAAAUUAUCGACCUCCCAAAAAAUAGGGGACAAAAAAUAAUUAGAGUUGAGACACAAUUACGGGUGGAAAUGAUCUGAGCUCGAGUGAGCUGACCUCAGCUCAUGUUUGAUUUGAAUUAAUUUAGAGCCUAAAUUCAGCUUGAAAUUAAUUCGAGCCGAGCUUAAUUUCGCGUCGAGCGAGCUCGAGCCCUAAAUGAGCCGCUUGAAAUUCUUAACAUCAUGCAAUCUAUAACUGACAAGGGCGACAGCGACCGAGGAGAUUGGCAACAGCGGCGUCAAGGCUGCAGCGGUGGCGAUUGGGAGCGAGGUGGAUAUGGAACUUGGCGUGCUCCUGCUUGAGGGGUGAGAAAGAGAGAGAGAGAGAGAGAGAGAGAGAGAUUAGAAAUUUAAUAAUUAGAAUAUAGGCUAAAUUACAGAAAAUCUCUUGUCAAUGCCUGCUUUUUUCCCUUUUCUUUUCUGUCAUUUAAAAAUUUAUAUUUUACCCCCUUAAAAAAAUAAAAAAUAUUCACUUUGACCCCCGCCCUCAGUAAAUGUUCACUUUGGCCCCUGCCCUCAGUAUUCCGUUAGGGUUCCAUUUAUAUCCUAUUAUUAUAUAUUUUUUAUGUCCAAAAUACCCUCAGCAUUGCCGCCUCCUUCCUCGCCGCCCACGCUGCCUCGCCCUCCUCCGCCGCCUCGCCCUCGCCCUCGCCCGCCUCUCCAUCCACGCCCACACACACGUUCUCGCGCUCCUUCGCCGUCUUGCCCUCGCCCUCGCCCACCUCUCCGUCCAUACCCAUCUCGAUUUUCUCCCUACCGUCGCCGAAAUAGAGGGGCGACGAGGGUGCAGGAGUAGCAGGGGAGCAAGUGAAGGAAAUAAAGUCUGACGAAGAUCAUACUUUGUUUCCGUGCUCUUAUGAAUCUCCAUCUCAAAGCCCGAAUACUUGCUCUUAAACAAGUUCAGAACCUGUAGCAUGGAUAGUUUGGAUAUCACUCCACGCGGAAUCGUUUUGAGGUGAUCGGUGUAACUCAGAUUCAAGAAUCUUAAUUCCGUCAGAAAUCCUAAUUCCGGAGGGAGUGAAAUUAUAUCUGAAUUUCUAAGACUGAGAUACCGCAAUUUGACUAGCGAACCGAUUUCUCGUGGAAGCUCUCUGAAGCAAGUCCAACUUAAAUCCAAGAAUGUCAGCGCGCGCAUGGUUCGGAAAAAUCCGGGCGAGAUGGCCUUCAAAUGAAAGUUUUGCUAGAGAGUCAAGAGCAAAAGAUUAGGACAAUUCGGAGAUUGCGGCAGCUCUUUUAUACAAUUACACAUCAGUGAAAUUCGCGAAGCUCUUGUCCAGCUGCCUGCAUCACUGUUCUGCAGUUUCUCCAGGCCAACUCCUGGCUGCACAAUCCAUUCCAGCUUCUUCUCUUCGGAUAGCAAGGCCACGCAGAGAGCCAUGUGUUAGAUGUAUGCCGUAGAAGCCAACCAGGCCGACAUAUAUAUUCUUUCUAGGAUAUAAAUUUGUAUUUAACUUUUAAAUAUUAUGAAUAACUUUGGGUUUUUAUUUCCAUUCAUGUUGUGUAUGCAUCCAUGAAUCGUCCAAAGAAUUAAUAAGAUGAUGACAAAUAUUCUCAAGAGUUGAGAAUUUGAGACAUGUGUCAUUGGUGGUUAAUUCCUAAAUACCCCUGAUCAAUGGAUCAUCACGGGGACGGUGAUUGAUCCGGUGAGAUUGGCACAUAGGUCGCUUCCCUUUUUGAGUAGACGAGUCUCGAGUCAACAGUGUGGGGACACUGAAGUGAAUAUGCAGGUAGUUGUUAGAGAACAAGGGUACCGAGCGUGACCAACACGAGAAGUCACUUGGAUGUCUACUCACUCGUCAGUGACUUACUCAAUAUUGCAGUAGCGUGACUGGUCAUUUGACCUACAGUGUCUCGGCUAUUCACAAUGAGGUUACUGUAGUUUGACAGUACAAACACUUGGUCCCUAGCGAUUCGGGUCCUUGCGGUGCAUGUUGGCUGCAGUAGGUUUAUUGUAGGAAUAUGGUGCGCACUCAGAUGGAAUCUAUCUCUCUUGGUAGAUUAGGGUGUUAGUCUUAUGUAAUUUAUGAAACCGAGUUUAGAAGACCUUGGCCAGGGCAGAGUUAAUAGCGGAAAAGGGUUUCCGAUAUUAAAAACUCGAGUCGAAUAAAUUUGACAUAUGACAGACGAUGAGGUUUGACGAGUUAUUCCAUAACCUCCGUCUAGUCGGGACUCAUGAUAGAAGGAUUGUAUGACACGGUAACUGCACCAAGAGAUUCAGUAUUUCAUUCUACUGGAAUGCCACUACAUGCUGCUAGGCGUCACUGGUGGAUUGUGAGACUCAUGAGAAUUAUCUAGAUGAUCGAUAAUUCUCAUUGGGCUAAGUUAGAAUUGUUCCGAUCCACUGAAAGGAGUUUCAGUGAUAUUAUUGAUAGUGAUCAAAAUAUAUCUCACUACCAGAUAAAAUAGAACCUAUGGGGUCACACACAUAAGAGGUUGUGAUUGAUCGGAUAGCUAGAUCGCGAUUAUUGAAUCGNNNNNNNNNNNNNNNNNNNNNNNNNGCAGGGUAGCAGGGAGCAAGUGAAGGAAUAAGCUGACGAAGAUCAUAUUUGUUUUCGUGUCUUAUGAAUCUCCAUUCAAGCCGAAUACUUGUCUUAAACAUAUGUCAGAACAUGUAGCAAUGGAUAGUUUGGAUAUCACUAAGCGGAAAUCGGUUUUUUGAUGUGUGGAUCGGUGUAAUAGAUUCAAGAAUCUUAAUUCGUCAGAAAUCCUAAUUCCGGAGGAGAGAUGAAAUUAUAUUGAUUUCUAAGACUGAGAUACGCAAUUUGAUAGGAACGAUUUCUCGUGGAGCCUUCUAGCAAGUCCAACUUAAUCAGAAUGUAGCGCGCGCAUGGUUCGGAAAAAUCGGCCGAGAUGGCCUUCAAAUGAAAGUUUGCUAGAGAGUCAAGAGCAAAGAUUAGGGACAAUUCGAUGAUUGCGGCAGCUCUUUUAUACAAUUUAACAUCAUGAAAUUGCGCGAGCUCUUGUCCAGCUGCCUCUCACUGUUUGUGCAGUUUCUCCAGUGACCAAAUCCUGAGCUGCACAAUCAUUCAGCUUUCUUCUCUUCGGAUAGCAAGGCCAGCAGAGACCAGUGUUAGCAUGUAGCCGUAGGAAGCAACCAGGCCGAAUAUAUAUUCUUUCUCAGGAUAUAAAUUUUCUAUUUAACUUUAAAUAUUUCAUGAAUAACUUUGGGUUUUUAUUUUCCAUUCAUGUAUGUGUUGCAUCCAUGAAUGUAAAGAUUAAUGAGAUAUGACAAAUAUUCUCAAGAGUGAGAUUUUGAGACAUGUGUCCAUUGUAGUGUAAUGUAAUUCCUAGAUACCCCUGUAUCAAUGGUCAUCACGGGGAACGGUGAUUGAUCGGUGAUGAUUGGCACAUAGGUCGCUUCCAUUUUUGGUAGACAGAGUCUCGCGUCAACAGUGUUGGGACACUGAAGUGAGAUAUGCAGGUAGUUGUUAGAGAACAAGGGUACGAGGUGACAACACGAGAAGUCACUUUGGAUGUCUACUCACUCCGUCAUGACUUACUUUUCAAAAAUUAUUGCAGUAGCGUGAUGGUCAUUUGACCUUACAGCUGUCUCGGCUAUUCACAAUGAGGUUACUUUCGUUGACAGCUACAAAACUUGGUCCCUAGGCGUUCGGGUCUUUGCGGUUCAUGUUGGCGCAGUAUGUUUAUGUGAGGAAUAUGGUGCGCACCAGAGGAAUCUAUCUUUUGGUAAGUAUAGGGUGUUAUCUUAUGUAAUUUAAUUGAACGGUUAUGAAAGACCUUUGGCCGGCAGAGUUAAUAGCGGAAAGGGUUUCGAUAUUAAAAACUCGAGUCGCUUUUUUGAAUAAAUUUGAAUACGGACGAUGAGGGUUUGACGAGUUUAUCUAACCUCCGUCUAUCGGGCUCAUGAUAGCAAGGAUUGUAUGACACGGUAACUGCACAAGAGAUCAGUAUUUCAUUCUCACUUGGAAUGCACUAAUGCUGCUAGGCGUCACUGGUGGUGUGAGACUCAUGAGAAUUAUCUAGAUGAUCGAUAAUUUCAUUGAGGCUAAGUUAGAAUUGUUCGAAUCCAUGAAAAGGAGUUUCAGGUGAUAUUAUUGAUAGUGAUCAAAAUAUAUUCACUACCAGUAAAUAGAACCUAUGGGGUCACACACAUAAGAGGUUGUGAUUGAUCGGAUAGCUAGAUCGUGAUUAUUGAAUCGUCGGAAGACCUAAUUGUCAAUAUGUUGAUAAUUGGACUAAUUUGUAAUUGUUACAAAUUAGUGGUAUUAAGGUGUAAAUAUAACAAGAGAGGACUUACUAAUAGUUAGUAAAUUAUAAGAGGAUUUAUGUGCAAAUGUUACAUUAUUAAUUUGAUAAGAUCAAAUUAAUAUAAAAUUCAAGUCGAAUCAAAUUAGGAUUUGAUCGAUCUAACCAAUUAAGGAAAGGAUAAAUUUAAAUCUAGAUUUAUAGAUAUCCUUAAUAGUUAUUAUAUUAUUAAAAAGAGGAUUAUAUUCCUCUAUAUUAUACGGGAGUUUUUAGAAAACCCUAGCCGUCAUCUCUCAUCUCCUCUCUCAUCCAUAUUCUAGCAAAAAGACGUCCUUUGCAAGGGAACUAGCAUCCCAGUGAGGAUAUCGAUCAAAUCAUCAACCUCGUGUGGAUACCUAUAGAGGCUGGACGCGUGUGCGGCUUCAAGAGAACCCAAUUCCACGAUCAUCAAGUUGAGGUGAAGAUUUAUCCGCGAAAAAGGUAAAGAUUCGAUCUUGUUUUUCUUCUUUAAUCUUAAAGAACAUGAGUAAUCCUAAUUGCGUGGUUUUUGAUAUUGGAUCUCGAGAGUUUUCAAAAAUCAAAUUUAUUUGAUUUCUUUUUCCGUUGCGUUUUACCGUAUGCAAUUUUCUAACAGUGGUAUCAGAGCCAUCCUCAUGUUCUUAAGAUUAAAAUUAUGAAUUUGGGUAUUCUAAACCGUUUUUCCGCCGGUAGAACAAUUUAUCGAUCAUUUUUGGCUAAUUCGAAAAGAUCAAAGUGAUCAACAAUUUAAUCGACGGUUUCUUGUUUAAAAAAAAAAAAAUACUGUAGCACCGUACGGACGCUACUGUAGAAUCUGUACGGAAAGCAAAAUUAUUUAUUUAUUUAUUUAAAUAAAAGAAAAGAAAAAUCUAAUUUGAUUAGAUGAAAAUAAUAUCUUGAUAUGAUCAAGUUGUUAUGUUUGUAGAUUAAGUUGUUGAUCAUAAUUAUAAAUGAUCAAUAAGAUUGAUUAUUUUUUUUUAAUAAUUUAGUUUUUCGAAUUGUCAAUUAACGGUAAAUUAGAAUGCCCAAAGUUGAUUAUUUUGCAUGUGGUGUAUGAGAUACAGAUCGGUAAUGAUCAUGGAUAGCGGACCAAUUUAAUUUUUGUUUCGACAUGUGAUGUAAGAUGUGUAUGCCGAAUCCUAUAAUUUUAAAUUUGUUUAAAUUAAGGAUUUUGUAUUAGAGAUGGCUAUAUUUGUGCCUGCACGCACAAGCCGAUUUAUUUGGAGACCUACGUGUCUCAAUAGAUUAGAGAUAAAAGUUAUCAAAUGUAAUUAAUUUUCAUUUCAUUUGCACUGUUGGGUUGUAUAAUAUAUGAUUCCACGUCAUUGGUUGAUCGGUUGCAAGCCUAAAAGUUCGCAAGGCUCGGAUAGAGACGAAUACUUGAUGCCGGUCGGAUCAAAGUGUUGAUAAGGAUCAAAUCAAGUUGAAGCUCUAGAUCGGAUCAAGUAGUUGAAGACAAUCAAACCAAUGACGUGUGUGUGCUUGUAAUUUAUGACCCUAAGACCCCGAUUCCGACUCAGUGGCUCGAGUCCGAAUCCACUACUAAGAUCAAUGAUCAUCACCAGUUUAAUUAUAUUUUUAUGCGCGGAUUGUUUUUAUUUGCAUUAGAUGUAAAUAAAUAAAAUAAUUUUUGAGACCUAAAUUUAAUCUCCUCAUAAAUAUUAAGUCGAGUGGUCUUCCGCCGUUGUAGAAGUGCGGGCGUUUUUCUGGUGUUGAUUGGCACGGCUGGUUACAGUGGUCAAUUGUAUCGGGAAUGCGCAACCACUCUAUUAGCAUGAGAUGCUGCGGAGUAAAGAUGGGGUUGGGCCCAAUAACUGUCAGGUGAGGGACCCAAUGACGGCUUUACUUACGCGUUUGAACGGUGGGUCUGACCUAACUAAGGAAUGGGGCCAAUAACUGUCAGGUGAGGCCUACAGGACUUAGAGACCAAUCACUGCAAUUUGCUUGAGAAGCAUUGGACAAGAGUUGUCCACUCAUCGGUUUGCAUAUCACCAAUAAUUGUUAGGUGAGGUGGUACGUUAAACUGGUGGGACCGCAGUACCCACUUGAAACCUUUUGUCGCGUUUUGUUUCUGUUUCUCUACCCGAGGAGUGUAAGAGACUCGAGAAAAUAGUGAGAGGCUAAAUUUAUUUUUUAAAAUUCUUAAAGCAAAUUUUCAAAACAAAUACAAAUAUCUAACUUGAAUCUUUACUCUCUGCAAAGCAAAUGUCUGCUUCCAUUUAUCUCUUUCGUAUUCUCGACACAAAACCCUUAACUGAAACUAAUUAUAAAAAUAGUUUUAAAUUCCAAUAAGCUAUGCAUUGUUCUCGACCAGGUAAACCUCACGUUGCAAAACCGUCCAAUAACUAACAGAAGGGCAGUCCGUUCAUGAUCAUUGUUUGACAAUGAUCAUAGACCUCGAGGUGCUUAAGAAGCUCGGCGUAAAAAUGGACAAGGAAUUGCAAGUUGAUUUGAUCCUGUAAUCGCUUUCUGUAUUAUAUGGACAGUUUAUUGUAAACUACCAUAUGAAUAAAAUUGACUGCACCAAUGUAGAGUUAUUGAACAUGUUGGUAAUAAUAGAGGGGACUUUGAAAAGUUCAAAGGGCACGGUUCUCGCUGUGGAGCGAGUUUUCUCUUCCAAAAGAAAGUCUAAUUGGAAGAAUAAACCCGCAAAGAAACAAAAGACGGAAAACAAGCCUAAGAAUGAAGCUCCUAAGAAAAGGGCCUCUAACAGAGAAAAAUGUUUCCACUGCAAUGUUGACGGCCAUUGGAAGAGGAACUGUCCUGUCUAUCUUGAGAGCCUGAAGAAUAAGAAGAAAGACACACCUUAGGGAAGGUAUGUCAGACUUGCUCGUAAUAAAAACUAACCUUACGGUUUCCUUUACUUCCAGUUGAGUUAUUGACUCUAAUUCUAGUACUUUUUGUACUUCAAUGUAGAGUCUAAGGAAAAAUAGAGGGCUUAGGGAAUGUGAAGUGACCCUAUGGGUAGGCAACGGAGCAAGAGUUGCUACUGUGGCUGCUAACACCUAUCCUUUGCAAUUACCGUCAGGAUAUAUUUUAUUAAAGACUGCUAUUACAUACCUCCUGCUAGCAGAAAUUUGAUUUCUGAUUCCUUUUUACACAGGAUGAUUAUAUUUGAUAAAGACUACCGCAUAAUUUAUUUUAGAAAUAAAAUUAUUGGCCGUAGUUUUAUGAUUGACAGUCUUUAUCAUUUACAUAUGGAUGUAUCUGCAAAUAUUUCUGAGCAAGUAGUGACUGCUGUUGGGUCUAAGAGAUCUAGAGAUGAGAUGAACCUAAAGUAUAUGUGGCACCUCAGGCUUGGUCAUAUUGGAGAAGAAAUGAUCAAUAAAUUGGAUAAAGAUAGGCUUCUCGGCUCAUUGACUUCAGAGUCUUAUCCAGUUUGUGAAUCUUGUCUUCAAGAAAAAUUGACUAAAUUACCUUUUGUAAGACAAGGGAAAAGGGUCACUGAGAUACUUUCCUUGAUACACAUUGAUGUGUGUGGGCCAUUUGAUGUGCAUGCUAGGGGUGGUUAUCUCUACUUCAUAACCUUUACCGAUGAUUAUUCACGGUAUGGGUAUGUGUAUCUUAUGAAACACAAAUCUGAGGCCUUUGAAAAGUUCAAAAAAUUCAAAUAUGAAGUAGAAAUGCAAACUAAAAAAUCCAUCAAGGUUCUUCGAUCAAAUCGAGGAGGAGAAUACCUUAGUGGAGAGUUUCUAAAUUAUCUCAAAGAAAACGGUAUAAUCUCACAGUGGACUCCUCCGGGAACACCUCAACUCAACGGGGUGUCAGAACGGAGAAACCGAACCUUAUUGGAUAUGGUUCGAUCCAUGAUGAGCUUCACUGAUCUUCCUUUGUUUCUUUGGGAACAUGCUUUGCUUACCGCAGCUUACUUGUUAAAUAGAGUUCCCUCUAAAUAGAGUUCCUACUACGCCGUAUGAGAUAUGGCAUGAUAAGAAACCAAGUCUUGGUCAUAAUAAGAUUUGGGGGUGUCCGGCCCAUGUUAAGCGACUACAGGCGGACAAGUUAGAGGCUAGAUCUGAGAGGGCUCGUUUUAGUAGAUAUCCUAAAGAAUUUUUAGGUUACUAUUUUUAUAUCCCAGAGAAUCACAAUAUAGUUGUGAACAAACAUGCUAUUUUCUUGGAAAAAUAGUUUAUUCAAGAAGAAGCUAGUGGGAGAAAAAUUGAGUUCGAAGAGAGAAUCUCUGAAGAGCAACGAGUCAUCAAACCUACAGAACCUAUUCAAGCUGAGCCAGUACAUGUAGUAUCUCCUCCACCUCGUAGGUCGAGUAGAAUCUCCCAUCCUACUAAGCGAUAUUUAGGUAUCAUUACAAAGGAAGUAGAGGAAAUGUUCCUCAUGGGAGAUAGGGAAUAUGGAGAUGAUCCCAAAACCUACAAUGAGGCGAUGUCUCACAUCGAUUCCGAGAAAUGGCUGGAUGCCAUAAAGUCAGAAAUUGACUCAAUGCAUUCCAACCAGGUUUGGAUUUUGGUAGACCCACCAGAAGGUAUAGUACCUAUCGGGUGUAAAUGGAUCUACAAAAAAAAGAUAGGUUCGGAUGGAAAGGUAGAGACCUAUAAAGCAAGACUAGUUGCGAAAGGUUAUAGUCAACGCGAAGGCAUUGACUAUCAUGAGACCUUUUCACCUGUGGCCAUGCUUAAAUCCAUUCGAACACUGCUUGCCCUUGCAGCAUACUAUGAUUAUGCGAUCUGGCAAAUGGAUGUGAAAACUGCCUUCCUAAAUGGAUAUCUUGAGGAAGAUAUCUAUAUGUAGCAGCCUUUGGGUUUCACUUCCAGUGACGAAAGUCACAAAGUAUGCAAGUUGCAAUGGUCCAUUUAUGGGCUUAAGCAAGCAUCUCGGACUUGGAAUACUCGUUUCAACGACGUGAUUAAAUCAUUUGAUUUCGUUAAGAAUGAGGAGGAACCAUGUGUUUAUAAGAAGGUCAGUGGGAGAGCUGUCGCAUUCCUCGUAUUGUACGUGGAUGACAUUCUCCUAAUUGGGAAUGACAUUCCAAUGCUGACUUCAGUUAAAAUAUGGUUGUCUAAAGAAUUCUCCAUGAAAGAUCUAGGGGAAGCAUCCUAUAUUUUGGGGAUAAAGGUCUAUAGAGAUAGAUCUAUAAGGAUGCUAGGCCUCUCACAGAAAAUGUACAUAGAAGAGGUACUGAAGAGGUUCAGCAUGGAAAACUCCAAAAGAGGACUUUUACCUCUUAGACAUGAAAUUUAUCUCUCUAAGAAAAUGUGCCCCAAUACAUUUGAAGAGAUUCAACGUAUGAGUAAGAUCCCUUAUACCUCAGCUAUAGGGAGUCUUAUAUACGCCAUGCUGUGUACACGAUCUGAUAUCGGGAUUGCUGUGAGUGUCACAAGCAAAUAUCAAUCUAAUCCAGGCGAUGAGCACUGGAUUACUGUGAAGAACAUACUCAAGUACUUGAGAAGCACUAAGGAUAUGUUCUUGGUCUUUGGAGAAAGAGAGUUGAAAUUACAAGGAUAUACUGAUUCAGACUUCAUGUCUGAUGUUGACGAUAGAAAGUCUACGUCACGAUGUGUAUUCUUAUGCAAUGGUGGCUCAGUGUAUUGGAAGAGUUCCAAACAACCACCCUACCAUGGAAGCAGAGUAUAUCGCCGCAUUUGAUGUAGGCCUUCUAAUUCAUGAAGUUUGUCGCGGAAUUAAGUGUGAUGUCAUCGGAUGCCAUACCACUCUAUUGCGACAACAAUAGUGCCAUAACCGUAGCUAAGGAGCCCGGUCUCAUCAGAAGUCCAAGCAUAUAGAGCGGUGGUUUCAUAUUAUAUGCGACUAUCUUGACAGAAAUACAUCGAGAUGUAGAGAGUAGACUCCACGGAUAACGUGGCAGGCCCAUUGACUAAACCACUUAGCCAGCAGAAGACUGAAGUCUAUCUUGAGAAGAUGAGGCUUAGGUAUAUGGCUGAUUGGCUUUAGUGCAAGUGGGAGAUUGUUAGAUGUAUGCCCUAGAAGCCAACCAGGCGACACAUAUAUUCUUUCUAGGACAUAAAUUUGUAUUUGACUUUUAAAUAUUAUGAAUAACUUUGGGAUUUUAUUUUCAUUCAUGUUGUGUAUGCGUCCAUGAAUCGUCCAAGGAAUUAAUAAGAUAAUGACAUAUAUUCUCAAGAGUUGAGAAUUUGAGACAUGUGUCAUUGGUGGUUAAUUCCUAAAUACUCCUGAUCAAUGGAUCAUCACGGGGACGGUGAUUGAUCCGGUGAGAUUGGUGCAUAGGUCGCUUCCCUUUUUGGGUAGACGAGUCUCAAGUUAACAGUGUGGGGACACUGAAGCGAAUAUGCAGAUAGUUGUUAGAGAACAAGGGUACCGAGCGUGACCAACACGAGAAGUCACUUGGAUGUCUACUCACUCGUCAGUGACUUACUCAAUAUUGCAGUAGUGUGAUUGGUCAUUUGACCUGCAGUGCCUCGGCUAUUCACAAUGAGGUUACUGUAGUUUGACUGUACAUACAUUUGGUCCCUAGCCAUUCGGGUCCUUGCGGAGCAUAUUGGCAGCAGUAGGUUCAUUGUAGGAAUAGGGUGCGCACUCAGAUGGAAUCUAUCUCCCUUGGUAGAUAAAGGUGUUAGUCCUAUGUGAUUUAUGAAACCGAAUUUAGAAGACCUUGGCCAACACAGAGUUAAUAGCGGAAAAGCGUUUUCGAUAUUAGAAACUCGAGUCGAAUAAAUUUGACAUAUGACAGACGAUGGGGUUUGACGAGUUAUUCCAUAACCUCCUUCUAGUCGGGACUCAUGAUAGAAGGAUUAUAUUACACGGUAACUGCACCAAGAGGUUCAGUAUUCCAUUCUACUGGAAUGCCACUACAUGCUGCUAGGCGUCACUGGUGGAUUGUGAGACUCAUGAGAAUUAUCUAGAUGAUCGAUAAUUCUCAUUAGGCUAAGUUUGAAUUGUUCCGAUCCACUGAAAGAAGUUUCAGUGAUAUUAUUGAUAGUGAUCAAAAUAUAUCCCACUACCAGAUAGAAUAGAACCUAUGGGGUCACACACAUAAGAGGUUGUGAUUGAUCGGAUAGCUAGAUCGCGAUUAUUGAAUCGUCGGAGGACCUAAUUGUCAAUAUGUUGAUAAUUGGACUAAUUUAUAAUUGUUACAAAUUAGUGGUAUUAAGGUGUAAAUAUAACAAGAGAGGACUUACUAAUAGUUAGUAAAUUAUAAGAGGAUUUAUGUGCAAAUGUUACAUUAUUAAUUUGAUAAGAUCAAAUUAAUAUAAAGUUCAAGUCAAAUCAAAUUAGGAUUUGAUCGAUCUAACCAAUUAAGGAAAGGAUAAAUUUAAAUCUAGAUUUGUACUUAUCCUUAAUGGUUAUCAUAUUAUUAAAAAGAGGAUUAUAUUCCUCUAUAUAAUACGGGAGUUUUUAGAAAACCCUAGCCGCCAUCUCUCUUCUCCUCUCUCUUCCAUAUUCUAGCAAAAAGACGUCCUUUGCAAGGAAACUAGCACCUCGGUGAGGAUAUCGAUCAAAUCAUCAACCUCGUGUGGAUACCUAUAGAGGCCGGACGCGUGUGCGGCUUCAAGAGAACCCAAUUCCACGAUCAUCAAGUUGAGGUGAAGAUUUAUCCACGAAAAAGGUAAAGAUUCGAUCUUGUUUUUCUUCUUUAAUCUUAAAGAACAUGAGGAAUCCUAAUUGCGUGGUUUUUGAGAUUGGAUCUCGAGAGUUUUCAAAAAUCAAAUUUGUUUGAUUUCUUUUUCCGCUGCGUUUUACCAUAUGCAAUUUUCUAACACCAUGUCGCAGAUAACGUCGUGAACUCAUACUUCUUUAUCGCUCACGUCGCCGUCUUCCAACAAGCAUGCUUUCUUCAAUCGUUCGAUGCGGGAGAAUCCCUCAUUGUAUGCAUCUUCGAUCGUCGCGCGGAUUGGUUGUAACCCCAACCCCAUCCAGAAGUCCACGAGCUCGACUUUCCAGAUGGAAUAGCCUUCAGGCCACAGGGCGCAAGUCAAGAAGCAUCUUUUCGUCUGCUCGUCUUCCAAAAUGUCAUAGCUAAAUCUUAUUGUGCUAAGCACAGGGUGAGCAUCCUUCAUACAUGAAUUUCCCGAAAGACGCAUGUUCUCGAGAGACGCGAUAGCGUUCUCCCAUUCUUGCAACGUCCUCUUCGUAGACAUCGAACGGCCUACGAAAAUGAGCGCAAGUGGCAAUCCACUACACCUCCUGCAGACUUUCCUUGCUAAGGAUUGUAUUCGAGCAUCCGAGUUUACGGUGUCUUCGCUAACACUGUUUUUGAACAGCUCCCACGCGUUGUCGGGUUCCACGCACUCCAAUUUGAUCUUGGUAUGAACUCCCAUGUUGCCGCAUACCUUUUCGAACCGUGUCGUCAACACUAUCUUUUGAUUCCUCGUGCCAUUAGGCUGUGGAAUUCCGACUCCUGCGAGGUCUAUCGGCUCCCACAGAUCAUCCAACAGCAGUAAAAACUUCUUGUUCUUUAACAAGUUGAAGAUCGUAGAAGUAUGCGACGUUGUUAUGCUCGAAUCCUGCUUCAAGUAGAGGCCAAUCUUCUCAGCUAUGUCCAGUUGAAGGUUCUCUAACUUGCAACCUUUUGAUGCCGCGAUACAAACGACGUGAUCAUAGCAGAAGCUUUCAAAAUCAGCAAGAAGGUGAUUGUUGAUGGAUUUCAGCAAAGUGGUCUUUCCUACUCCUCCCAUUCCCCAUACGCCGACCACUCCGACUUUGUCGUCUUCGAGGUGGCGAAGUAUCUUCUCUAGAUUGGAUUGCAUUCCGAUAACCGCAGAUGCAAUAGGCAUCUCCUCGAUCGAAGGCAGAGGCAACUCAACGGCGAUUUCUUCAAAAGCGCCUCCUCGAUCAAACAACUCCAUCACUUGUUUAAGCUUCUUCGCAGCUCUUCGACUGAUCCUAUGUUUGCCAAUAAUGUCAAGAGAGAACUCCCCACAGCAUCGGCAUCUUUCAUCGUAAGCGUGUUUUAUCACUUUCACCUCACCUUCGAUGGCUUUGACACUUUGUAACCAUUCUUUCGCUUUGUGCUUGCGUGUUUUAUGUCUUCUUUCUGCGAUGUCGAUUUGCGCUUUUAUAUCAUCUCUUCUAGCUUGCAACCUUUUCGUGAAGAUCGUUAGCUUCUUCAUGUUCCCUCCGACCUUUACGGGAUACCCCAAGUGCAACCCCAAGGGAUUCCAUAACUGAGAUAAAACCACGGCGACAAUUGAUCCGAAAAAAGGAAGCAAAGCCAUUGCUACAAUCAAAGGAAAAAAGAAUUAGCACAGUACAAGGCGAGUUACUUUAUUUGUCGAGAGAUGAUCUCACUUUAGCAUUAAAAAUAAACCGCGUCGGUUCCAAUCGAAAUAGAACAAAACGUAGAGGAGAAGUAAUGAAAUCAUCGAAGGUUCUGAUAUGGCAUGAAUAAAGUGCACAGAGAUGUGUAAGAUCUAUUCUUCAAACAUGCAUGCUCACUACUAAAGGAAAAGAAGGAAAACAACAUAGAUCAGCUCUCGAACAUGAAAUUGAUCAAAAAUCGAACAUUGAAAGUUCAUUGUGUGCAGACGACGGAAUCGCAAGAUCCUCGAAUUUCAUGUUCUAAUUUGCUGAUGAAGUUUUUCAUUUGGUUUUGAGACAAAUCAUCUUCUUCGUUUCCUCGUGUAUCUGUAGAUGUUUACUGCCUUCGUCGAAGCUAUAUGAUGGAUGCAGCUUACCAAAUAAAUUUUUUUUUUUCUCCAUGUUGCAAACUAGUCCUAUUUACUUCUCUCUGACCAUCUAUGUAUCUAGUAUCAGCUUUAACUCGUCUUUUUAUCUUUGUUUCAUAUAAUUUAUUACUUCAUUUUCCUCCUUUCUUAGAAGUUUCAUGUUAUAGUUUCAUCAGCAUAUGUACUCACAUACACCUCCCCUACAAAUGUCAGUUUAGUUGAAAACUUAACCUCAACCCAAAAAUCAGGUGAAUUAAGUAAAAUGUAACUGUGCAAUGUAACUCAGUACACACUUGUGUGUACAUAUUAAACGCAAAGUAUAUGUAUUUUAGCUCGUUGAAUUGGCAUGGCGAUUCUGCUAAAUUUAACAGUUUUUACCUGCUUUUUAGCUGAUCGAAUUGUAGGCUUCUUUAACAUCGACGAACCGUAAGCACGAUCCCCAAUUUCAUUGACUAAACACUAACUCAACAACAAAAAAGGGGGACCGAUCUUCCCUAGAGCAAGUGGCAAAGGGCUUGGUAGUUGGUAUCCGAAAUUCAAGUUCGAAUCCUAGUUGAUUCACAUUUUUAGCUAAGUUUAUUUCUAAAUGAAAUAAACGAAGCGGAUAGCGUGCUACCUAUCUCUAAAAAAAAAAAAAAACAAUGGGAAUGUAAUAUCAAAAAGUUUAUUUCAAAUUGUUUUUAUAGCACAUAUAUACAUUUUUACCCCAAAAAAAAGAUUGAUGCAGGACAACACUUUCUAGCUCCCAUUUCUUACUCUAGACACAUCAUCUUUAAUAUAUAUGUAUCAUUAGAAUGGGAAGGAGAAGGAAAUGAGCAAAAAUAUAUAGCUUUUGUUUUUAUCUACGAGUGAUAACACAUGGCGCAAAUUGCACUAGUUUGGUUAAACUAUGAGUUCUGGUUAGGUGUGUUUGGUUCCAAAUCGGAAUCGGUAUCGGAAUCGGAAUGAGAAUAAGCUGAAAACGGAAUCAAAAUGAUUAAUUAUCUCAUUCUGUUUAGUUUACCACCUAAAUUGGAAUCGAAAUGAGCUAUUCUCGUUGUCGGUGCUUGGUUUAGAUAGAUAACAGAAAAGUAAUCAAAUUAAUAUGUCAAUUUUAUCUNAAAUGUUUCCCAUACUGGGCCAACGCGUUAAGGGAGCUGAGUGCUCGGUCUUAGGCGUGGCCAGCGAGGAGCAUUGAGUCCAGGAGCGGUUAGAGUUCGCCUCACUUCAGUUAGUGCACCCUCCCUAGCUUGUGUAUAAAAGAGUUUCGGCUCUGCACCUUGUGUAGUACAUACGGCCGAUCGGCACCACCAUCUCGUUAGGACAUUCGUUGACCGGGCUGAGCGAGGUUAUGGAGUUUUCCCGGAUGUUUUGCACCUGAUUCGAAGGGUGCAUGAGGUUUAGCCGCUUAGGGAGACCUGCCGCUCUGAAAUUCUUUUUGUACUAGAGGGUGGACCUUGAGGUUCAGAGCAGAGGCCCAUAGUCGUAUCGAGGAGACAGCUGAGACCCGACGAUUAUACACGGCAGCGUGAAGAAAAUGGAAAAGGAGUCGGAGUUAGUCUUAGAGUCCGGGUUCGCAGGAGGAGAGUGGGUGUAGUGAGGUUUUGUUUCCCCUAGCUGUAGACGCAGGUAUGUUGCGGAGUUUGCCUCGGUAGACCUACGAGCGAACUAUCGACAACAACAUGCGUUUGAGUUAGUCAGAGUUUACAGCUAUGGUGGGAGGAGGUUUCAGGUCCUGUGUACGGGAGUCGUACAGGAGAUCUCAGACUUACCAGGAGAGACUGACUGGUAGACAGACACCCACUUUGCGGCACGACUUUACGUUGACUCACGGGUUCCGGCAGACUUCUGAGGAGGUCUUCACGCUAUGCUUGGAGCCCAGGGCCAGUCUAUGAUAGCUUCACCCGUGCGGUACGUUGGAGUGAUAGAGUAGGUUCAUGUUAACUCGCUCAGAGAGGGACCUGGUUCACCAGACGUGACCAUUCUUCACUCGUCUGAACCAGUCAGACAGGUGAUAGUGGGUUUAGCGUAGCUUUGGUGGGACACGAGAGCCGUUAGGCUGCUGUUUCAGGUAGCACUAGACGAGGGUAAAGGUGAGCCCGUGACCAUCUGAGACUUCGAACGGUCGUCCAUGGACUACGAGCCGGAAAUGGACAACUGUUCAGUCUGUGACUCGGUGUUUAGAUGGUUACAGGGAGAAGUAAGGUAAGGUGGUUUUGACUCGGAAAUUUAGGAAUAUGUAAAACCAAGGUGGCCCCACUUGGCAUAUUCCACUUGUCACUCGGAGAGAGUUCUACAGGAGAGCCUAGAGACUUAGGUAUCCAUGUGUGUCAGCCAGGGACAUGGCGUCAUGAGGGCUUGACAGGUGUUGUUUCGGGAGCCGAACAGGGAAGAGUUCGACGAGAGCUUAGGAGCUGUUCACACCUAGGGGUGAAACAAAGAGAGCUUAGGAUAGAUUGUCUCACCCGACGUUCUAGUAUCUGUAGUUAGAGCGUCAUUUUGGUCCCCUGUGAUGGAGCUCAGGGUCGGCAGAGUCGAGGAGCUCAUUGCCAGAGACGGCUCACUAGUUGUAUGAGUUCGAGACGUGACGGAAGGACGAGUUGCGUAGACGGUGGUGUAAGCGGAACGGCCCUACUAUGACCUAUGACUACAGUAUUAGGAAGUCGUUGAGGUUGGUGGCCGCGACAGAGUUUAAGUUGAGGAAAACCCACUUGUCUAUGAACUCUGAAAAUACUAGUCAUUUUUAGAGCGUCACGAGCGGCAUGUUCAUUACGGCGGUCUCGAAGUUUCGCUUUUGGUGGCGCCGUUCGAGGUACAGUACGCAUCCCAUUAAGAAGAGUAUUAGGAAAUUGACGGCACUUCGUAUUCGUUAGUGGGAUGGUACGACGUAGUCGUGCGUUGGUUCAGGUGACACGCUACGUAGUGACAUCUAGUGUUUAGGAAGCGGGUAUUGUCCUUCCCGUUCCUAUCCUCGGUUGCAGUUAGAGUCAGAGUUGAGCAGUUUCGAGUAGACUGUCAGCAGCGAGGUCUGUUUUGCUUAGGGGAAGGCGCAGUUCCCACACUCCCCACACCUUUCGAAGCGUUUCGGAAGGUGUUUGGCUGCCAUUAUAGGACGGUCAGGGGUGCAGUGGAGUAAUCAUGAGGAGCGAGAGGCGACUUGGGAGCCGGAGGCGAUGAUGAAGGAGUCCUACCCCUACCUGUUCGAGGCCCUGGAUUGAGGUCUGUGUACAGUUUCGCGGACGAAACUUUUUGUAGUGGGGGAGGAUGUAGUGUUCCUGAGCUUUGGAUAGGAUUGGCUUCAGUAUUUUAGACUGGUCGACAUCUCUGGAGAGUGUCGGACUGAGUCGGAGUCAAUUCUGCACGAAUUGGAUGCAGAAUUGGACUCGGCGCACUCAAAUAAGCAAAACUGGAGUUUUGCCAGAUUCGGGCGCCCAGAAAAUAUUUAGGGUCGCCCAGAAACGAGUGUUGAAUUUAACUGAAACUGGAAGCCAAUUCGGAUCCCAAGUUCCGGGCGCCCAGAAGUGGGUCCGGAAAUUCGACAUCGUAAAUAUCGCUUGCUUCGACGCGUGGCAGGGUGGUAGGUGAGUUCCGCCGGUGCCGUUUACGGGCGCAGCACACCGCGGGCGGAGAGUCCGAAGGGCCCGGUUUGUGCUGUCGGGAUGUUCUGGUCGCCCAGAACAUGUUUCCGGGCGCCCAGAAACGCCCGUUUCUGCAGGGACAGCAGAUUGCAAGCUUUGUUCUUGAGGUUCAUUUGAUCCUAUUUUCACUCUAUAAAUAGUUGGAAUGCGUCCCUUUGCUGCUCUUUUCUUCCCUCCUACACAGAGAAACCCCUUUUAGCAUCUUAAACCUCGGAUUUGCUUCAAAUUUCAUCAAAUUUCCAUGAUCCAGCUUGAUGGAGUGCUGAUUCUGCAGUUCUUCAGCGACGACCUCCAGCGUUUUGGCUCGUGCGCGACGUAGGAAGGUCGGAUUUCAACGAAAAUUGGUUUGCUGGAUUCUUGACUUCCAGAGGAAUCCACGAAGCCUUGAUUUGCAGAAUUUGGUGAAGGUUAGCUCAGUCGAACUCAGGUUUUCCUCUGCUGCUGUUGCUUUGGACAGAAUUUGCCAAUUUUUGAGUUUUCUUGGGGUGAACUUGGGAAGCAGGGGCUUUGUGGAGUUGAGCCAUUUUCCCUAUCACCCAGUAUUGGAAUUGGGACCCUCUUCACCUGAUUUGGAGUUCGUUAGGUGAGUUUUGACAUUGGAAUUGAGAUAUUUAAGCUUAAGUGCUGUUUUGCUGAAAUUCAUCGUCGACUGUUAGUAUUUCAGCUCGUACUGGACGUAGGAGCAUCGGAUUUCGACGAAACUUGAUUCGUUAGUUUCGGGACUGCGAGAGGAAUCCACGAAGUCCUUACUUGUGGAUUUUGGUGAAGGUUAGCUUAGUCGAAACCCUUCUCUUCUUUGCUGCUGUGUAUUUGGACUGAGUUGUGGAUUUUGAUGUUGAUAGCUUGGAGAUAGCUUGAUUGUGAGACUCGGACAUUUUCCGUCGAUCCAGCAGGUUGUGCCACAGCCGAGGGAGUCCCGUGCUGCCAGGAAUUUGCACUAGAGGUGGGUUAUCAUCGGUUUCGCUCCUAAGUGCAUGUUAGUCAACGUGUAUGGUUCGAUUGUUGUAAAUCAUGCUCUAAUUCAUCGAUUAGCAUUUUUAAAUGUAAUAUGAAUGUAGAAGCAUGCUGAAAUGAAUAUUUAGAUUAUACAUGUUGGACUUGAAAUUUGACUUAGGAGAAAACCUGCGUUUUGACCCGUCAUAUGCUUAAACUACCAGAUUUAGCUCUAGGAGCCGUGUUUCGAUUGUAUCGUUGCCGUAUUAGUGCGAUGGAUACCUGGGGUAGUUUAGAUGGCAUUUACGCUCGUGCUGAGGUGCCGAGCUUAUUUUCAGCAGAGUAUAGGCUGUUUCGGGUCAUUGGGUGCCGUUCGGGUUAGCGGUGGACCCAGAUUCUUGUUUUGGUCACAGAUUGUGCCGAGGGCACGUGGGUUUGGUUUGUAGACCUGUUUUGACCCUGUUCACUUGACUUUGGCUAGUUGGAGCCUGUUUGAGCUCGACAGAGAUACGCUGCAUACUCGGUUGGGUAGCGCCCACGAGUGCCACUCCGGAGUCAGGCUUGUGCUUUUGCGUUGGUGUCGCUCAUGCCAGUUGGACUUGCUCUCCACGACCAGUUAGUGUGGAUAGAGCUUGAUAGUCACAACGGGGCAGGGACGGGUGUAUUCACAGUCCCGGGGACGGGUAUGCUUACAGUCCCGAUUGGAUUGGGUCAGAUUUGACAUUUCCUACAGUUGGUUAGUGUAGAGCAUGAUAGUAUAGUGAUUUGUAGCGGUUGAGUUUAUUUCCUGCUUUUCCUCCUAUUCUCGCUCCCUUCUGUAGACUUAGUGGGUGGACCGAUAUUGUUUUGGGCGGUACCCACUGAGGACUACUUGUUUUUACAGUAGUUCUCACGCCCAGUUGUUACACCUGUUUUGCAGAGCCACAGGUUUCGGCUGCUGCGCCUUCCGCAGAUCAGGAUCGAGGCAAGGGCGUCGCGAGUUAGAGCCCUACCCGACGUGCUGAGCUAGAGGUGCCCCUAUUGCAGGUAGAUGUUUUGUUUCGAGUUUAUGUACAUAGUAGACCUAACUCGCCAGUGCGAGUAGCUUUGUAUUUUGGAUUUGGACUAUGUAUAUGAAACUCAGCUGGUUUAGUUUCUGUUUUUUUCUAGCAGCUCUCUACUACUGUUCGUAGUAGUGUUUGAUUUACAGGUACAGCUAUCGCUACGUAUACAGGAAAAAUUCCUUUGUAUACGGCGGAUUUGUCGGCGUGCCCGGGAAAAGUAUAAUCCGGGGCGUGACAAUCAAAGUGAGGCUUGAGCUAGUUGGACAUCAUCCCCGAGUGAUUUUGGAUGCGUGGGAAUGAAUUCCGGAGAUAAAUGAGUGUUUUGGCGCAAAUUAGGCGCGAAACGAAAGGAAAAAGGAGUUUUCGGAUUAUAGAGUUAACUUUGAUUAAAUAAAUCAAAGUAAGAAGCUUGAGGAUAAUUGGACGCUAACUUUGAAUAAAUAAGUCAAAGUGAGGCAGGAGGAUGAAUUGUAGUAUCCUCGAAUCAAUUUGGAUGCGUGGGAGUGACUUCUGAGAACAAUUGAGUGUUUGAUGCAAAUCGGGCGUAAAGUGAAAGAGUUUUGGUUUAUGAGGUUAACUGGAAAUUUUAUUGUUCAAAGAGAAGCAAUAAUAUAAAUGUGGUAUUCCAGAACUAAAUUGAUAGCUUAGGGAUAGUGUUUAGCAUGCUUUGGAGGUAAUUAGAUGGAUUCGGAAUGAACUAAAUGAGCAAAAAGGCCUCCAAUUGCUGCUGCUGCCAUGUAGUAUGUUGGAGUUGGAUUAUGUGCUAAUCUUGAUCAAAAUGAUCAAGAUAAUGCAAAAAUGAAAUUAGUUUGCUCUCGAGCUUAAUUGGUAGCUUGUGGAGGUUUAUUAGUAUAUUUUGGAAGUGUUUGGAUGGACUCGGAGUGAACUAGACACGCCAAAAGGGUUGUAAUUGCUGCUGCCAGGUUGCUGUUAGUGCAGGGACUGAUUUGUAAACCUGCAGGGACUGAUUUGUAAACUGUUGGACUGCAAUGCAAUUUCAGCCUUUUGAGGGGUUAAGUUGCAGAUUUUUGAGCUUAUCCCAACCCCAGCCACUCCCUGUAGCUGCCCACGUACCAGAUACCAUCUCCCAUAACCUUCUUCUUAUCUAAUUCUCCCUCUUUUUCUCUCUCAACCCUAGAAGCAAAAUAGUGAAGGAAAGUGUUGGAGACUUGGCAGCUUUGGUGUCUUGGUCGUAUUGGAGCUGCCGAAGUAGAAACCCAGCCUUGGAAUACUUCGAACCUGAGGUAAAUAAUUUGUUCUCAGCUGGGAAUUAAUUUGUUUGUUGCUUUAAAGAGAGUAGAAGCAAUAGAAUUUCAGUUUUCUGAAAUUGUAGGGGAAAAGCUUGGUGGAGUAGUGCAGUUUUUAAGGGUUUGAGCUGAAAAGAAGGCUUUAGAACAGGGAAGCUAGCUGUUGGAGCAUCAAGAUAAGGUAAACUUGAUCCAAUUAUGAUUAGGGUUCAAUUAUUUAUCUUAGAAAGAUGUUAAAUUGGAAUAGUAUGCUGGUUGAGGGUGUAGAAACCUGAAAAACUGCAUUGUGGACAUGGUAUUUGUGAGCUAUGGAUUAGGAAUGCAAUCUAAGAUGGAAUUAAUGGAAAGUUAAGUUAAUUCCUGGUUUAAAGGGUGCAUAUUUAUAUUCUAAAGAGGUCUAAAUCGCAUAUUUUAAGUAUUAUGACUCCUAAUUAAUACUGAAAGGCUUAAGGAAAAAUUGUGGAAGCAUGCAUGUAUAUGUAUGCAUAUGUAUGUAUACUUGUGAAUAUAUAUGUGAAUUGGUUAUUGGGAAUGAAACCUGAGGUGGAAGAGACCUAAUUCCUGGUUACAGUACAUGGUGUUUGACUUAAAGAAGAAGUAGACAAUGGGAUUAUAGGUUUCUAAAGUUGAAAUUGCCGUGAAAACCUAUAGAAAAGCCAUAUGUUGAAUGUAGUAUGUAAACUCUUGGGUUGACGUGAGCCUGUAGAAAUGAGAAGUAACAGGAGUUCAUUUCUGGUAUUCCUAAAUUAAUGGGUUGAAGUCCUUAAAUUGUUAGAGUUUGUAGUACUCUAUAGGUUUUUGUAGAACCUGUAUAGAGGGGUUGACAAUAGGUUAAAUGGAAACCUAAGCUCGAUAAUGCACUUUUGUAGGAUCGAGGUUCUCGCUUGGAAUUGAUCGCGUACAAACCUAAUUAAGGGCAAGGCGAACACGUUGGAAAGCUCGGAUCGAUAUUCCGACGAGCCUACGGCAAGCUAGUGAGGAAAACCUCAUUUUAGCUCAAGUUGUCGCGCGCAAGGAUUGCGGUCGUCCGUAAAGUGCGGGAAGUGAAUUUCUCACAUUCCGGUAUCAACUAAAGAUGGGUUGUGCUUCACCGAAGCGAUUAGGUCGCUUCCAUGCCAAAGUAAUGUAUGGUUUUCAUUGAUGCAUAUAUGUAUAGUGGUAGGUUAUGAAUGAUAAAGUGAAUGUGUGAAUUAUGAUAUAUUAGCUAAUGUUACCUACUGUUGAAAUAUGCAUAUGAAUACAUUAUGGAUAAUGUUAGAGAAUAUAUAAAUAUUGACAUAUUGUGAACAUGCUAGAUUCACAUGAAUUGAGUAUUAGUCGAUAACUCUAGGUUGAUUAGAGAAUUCGCCGUUUAUAAAGUGUAAAGUGAGAAUAUGUAAACUAUGAUCCCAGGCAAGGAUAACUAGGCUGAUACAUAGAUCGAGUGGCAUGAACCUAGUGUUAUUAAACAUAGGUUGGACAUGAACCUAGUGUCAUUGAACAUAGGUGUCGAGAUCUAGGUGAAAUGACAUAGAACCUAGCGUGAUUGAACCUAGGUUAUGAUGUAUAGUGACACUUAGUAUAUUUGAACUAAGUCAUGGGUUAUAGUGAUAGAAGGACCACUAGGAAAUAAAUUGAGUUAGACCUAGGAAGGUCGUCAACAUAAGGUAAGUAUUAAACCCUUAAGUUGUGAAAGUGGUUUUCGGAAUCCCUAGGAAUGGUGCUGUUGGCAAAAAUAGAAUCAGAACUACGGGUUUGACGGUUCUUCUCGCCCGGUAGUGAUUCAACGGGAUCGACGGUUCUCCUCUCCUGGUAUGAGCUCAACGGGUUUGACAGUUCUCCUCGCCCGUUAAGCUUUAGCAGCUUAGGGUCACGGGGAACGAUGGUUCUCCCCUCCCUAUGAUGGACCUAUAGUCGUGUGGACUUAAGGCUGAGGUGCUUGUGAGACGUCCUUCACCUCGAGCCUGACUUGACGCGGUACUCCUCGGAUGAUUGACUCGAGACCGAGUAGGGUGGAUAGCUUGAUUAAGGUAGAUGAAACCUUAGAAGCUAGUGUGAUUUGAACUAUGGAUAGCGAGAUAGAAAGUAGGAUCAGCAGACCUACUGGACAUAGUUGCACAAUUUGCAUAUUGCAUACCGUGAGGCAUACAUGUAUUAAUAUUAUCUGCAUAAAUUAUUUGUGAAUAUCUGUUGAACUAACAUGUUACAGUGCCUCUUUUGGACCUGGUGUGUCGAGCUCUUCCCUUGGGUGGCCGUACCCACUGGGAACUAUAUUUAUAUAGGUUCUCACCCCGGUGUUGUUUUUGGGGGUACAGGUUCGCACGUGAGCGGCGCGGCGGCGCAAGGACAGGGUGUAGCUCCGUAGAUAGCGCCCUACUACUGAGACCAAGAUAGCAGUAUCUUGAAGUGGUCUAGCUCAGAGUUCAGAAUAAAAGUAACAAACUUGUAGUAAUUUGUAUAAAGGCUUAUGUAAUAACUUAAAGGUAUUUGUAGUAUUGUAAAAUGUAAUAAAUCUCUGAGAUGAAUGCUUGUAAUAGCAUAGUAGCAUUUUAUGUUUUUGAUACUUAUGCAGUCUAUGUUUGAAUACUGUUCCUGGUUGGAACCUCUUAUAUUGCAUUGUAUAGAUUGUGACGCCUAGAACGUACAGGAAAAGCUUUGUCCGUUCGGCGGUCUGUCGGCGUGCCCGAAUCCGACCAAAUAGGCGGAGCUCGGAGCGUGACACUUUACGUGAUUUAAAUUGCAUCUAUUAGGUUAGAUUUUAUUACGCAAUUUAUUAUGCGUAUUAUUAAUAAAAUUAAUUAACUAUAUUAUAUAUUAUGAAUUAUUAAUAAAAUUAAGUAACUAAUUUCAAAGAGUUUAGAGAUUUAAAAUUUGAAAAUAAAUAUUAUAAAUUAAAUUUAAAUUUUAAAAGAUAAAAUAUAAAAUUUGAAUUUAAAACUUAAAAAUUUGAAAGUAUCGAGCUUUUGGGAUUAAUGGUUAGCGCCAACGAUCCGACAAGUGGUAUCAGAGCCAGAGGUCACGGGUUCGAUUCCUGCAUGCUGUAAAUAUGUGCAGGUGCUGGAGGGGGGAUUGUUGGCUUAAAUGGGCCAGCAUCCUGUCCUGUGGCGGGAGGCCAUAUGGGCCGAGUCAUGUUCGAAAUGGCGUGAGGCUGGGUUGGGCCGAGUCAUGUUCGAAAUAGCGUGAGGUCAGGUGGGCUGAGUCACAAUCGAGACCUGUGGGCGCUGUUUCUGUACGCUUUAAGUGAAUUGGUUGCGUAUUUCUAACAGCUCGAGCUUUCGGGAUUAAUGGUUGCGCCAACGAUCCGACAAGUUUUAUCAGAGCCAGAGGUCACGGUGUAUUCGAUCCUGCGCAUGUCUGCAAAUGCUGUGCAGGCGUGCGGAUAGGGGGAUUGUUGCCUUAAAUGGGCCCAGAUGCAGUCCUGCUGUGGCGGUGUAGGCCAUGAUGGGCCAAGUCUUGUUCGAAAUAGGUCGUGGAGGCUGUUGUGCCGAGUCAAUGUUCGAGAAUGACGUGUAGGCCAGGUGGGGCGGAUGUCACAAUCGAGACCUCGUGAGCCGCGCUGUUUCUGUACGCUUUAGUUGAAUUGCGUUGGGUAUUUUCUAACAGGCCUCGAGCUUUUUGGAUUAAUGGUUAGCCGCCAACGAUCUGACAAGGUAUCAAACUAGAGAGUCAGGCGUUCGAUCCUGCAUGCUGGCCAAAAUGUGUUUUGCAGGUGCUGUGGGGGGAUUGUUGGCUUAAAUGUGGGCAUCCUGCCCUGUGCGGUCGAGGCCAUGUAUGGCCGAGUCCAGUGUUCGAAAUGUGCGUGGGCUGGCGUUAGGGGAGUAUGUUCGACAAGUGGCUGAGGCACAGGUGGGCCGAGUCACAAUCGAAAUUGGUUUGUGGCGCUUGUUUCUGACGCUUUAAGUGAAUUUUGGGUCUGCGUAUUUUCUGACAGUCGCGGCUUUUGGAUUAGAUGGUUAGCCGCCAACGAUUCCGACAAUGUCGUAUCAAGAGCAGAGGGUCACGGCGGUUCGAUAUCCGCAUUGCCUGCAAAUUGUGUGCUCAGGUGUGGAGGGGGGAUUGUUGGCUUAAAUGGAGCACAGAUUCCUGCCCAUGUGGCGCCGGAGGCCACUGGUGGGCCGAGUCAUGUUCGAAUCAUGGCGUGUGAGGCUGGGUUGGCCGAGUCAUGUUUGAUCAGUGGCGUGAGGGGGGGGGGGGGGGGGGGGGGGCGGGGGUGGCCAGGUGGGCCGAGUACAAUCGAGGACCCCGUGGUCGCGCUGUUUCGAACAUGACCUCGCUUUCACAGUGGCCUCCCGCCCACAGGGCAGGGGAUGCUGGCCCAUUUAAAGCCAACAACCCCCUCCAGCACCUGCACACGAUUCUGCAGCAUUGCAGGAAUCGGAACCCGUGACUCUAGCUCUGACUACCACUUGUCUUGAGAUCGUUGCGCACUAACCAUUAAAUCCCAAAAGCUCGAGCUGUUUAGAAAUAUGCAACCAUUCACUUAAAGGUACAGAAACAGCGCUCACGGGUCUCUGAUUGAUGAUCGGCGCCCACCUGGCCAUCACGUCACUUCGAACAGACUCGGCCCCCAACCCAGACCUCACGCCAUUUCGAAACAUGACUCGGCCCACAUUGGCUCCCCUACCAGGUAAUCAGGUAGGAUUGCCGGCCUAUUUAACGCCAACAAUUAAUUAUAAUAUAUAUAGAAUUGAGCUCCUAUGCCCUUUUAAAAGUACCGAAGUUAUUUGGUGCUUAGUAGAUUUUUAGCUAUUGGCAUUAAGAAAUAUGGGGUGUAAGAUGAUGUGGCCCUAGGGUUAGUGGGUCGUGUGUUGGCUUAAUGUAUAAUCUAAUGGUUUGAAAAUGAUCUAAGAAAUACGAUCUACUGGCUAAAAAAUCUUACACAGCACCAAGUGCUUAGUUACUUUUACAAGCACGCAUAGCCGACGAUCUAUACUAUAUAUAUAUAUAUUAAUUUAUAAUAUAUAGAGGAGAAAGACGUAAAUGUUCGUCGGGUUUGGGGGACAUCGUUCACCCCCUUGGUCUCCGCAAACUCUUCUUUAAUGUUAGAGAAAAAUAAGAUAUAUAUUAUAUAUUAAUUAAUAUAUAUAUAGAUAUAUAUAUAUAUAUAUAUAUUAUAUAUAAUAUUAUAUAUAUAUAUAUUAUAGUAUAUAUAUAGAGUCAGGCGUGCCUAUACUAUCGGUAGCACGCACCUUCCCGUGCUACCAAGUCGUUUUUCGAUGAUGCGGUUCCAAAGAGAUCGGCGCGCGCGCGCGCUCCGUUAGACUUGAUCCUUCACUAUUAACAGUAUUUGGAAACUAAGUUUCAUUAAUUUUUCGACCAUCAUUUGACUAUGUGAUCAAAAGAUCUCAAAAAUUGACCAUUUUAAUGGCCGAUGUGGCCUGUAUUGUGAGUUUAACGGAAUUGUAAACAAUCUAAAUCCGAUAAAAAUUUUUUUAAAAUCGUUUUCACUAUGUUAGUGUAAGAUCAUUAUAUCUGAUCUUGAAUUUAAAAUCUUUUAUCAUCAUUUUUUAUGAGAUUUUUAUUGUUCAGCCGUUUCAAUUGUUAGACUAUUUGUUUGAUAGCAGUGAAUGAUAGUCGAAAAUUAUAUAUGAAAUUUUAGUUUCAAAUGCUUUUAAUGGUGUAGAUCAAUGUCUAACGGACCACCCGGAUCGUCGAUUUGGAAGCCGCCAUUCAUUGAAAACAACUUGGUGCACGAGAGCCCGUCGGCUACCGAUAGCAUAGUUAGCCGGACCUUUAUAUAUAUUAUAUAUAUAUAAUAUAUUAUAUAUUAGUAUUUAUAUUAUUUAUAAAUAUUAUUAUUAAAUAUAUAAAAAUUUUAUUUAUAGUAUAUAAAUAUAAUACUAUUAUAUAUUAUAUUUAUCCUUUUUAUAAUGUAUGUAAAUAUAUUUUAUUUAACAAAUAUUAAUUAUAAUAAAUAAUAACUUUCGAAUUAUGCUAGAAUACUAUUAAUAACACAAAUGACUUUGUGCUAUUAAAUUUUCUGCCCUUAGAGUUAAAAGAAUGUGCGUUAGGAUGUGUUGGGACUCCAGGUUGAGUGGAAGUGGUGCGUUUGAAUGUAAGUAUAUCGAACAGAUGAAAAUAAUGAAAAAGAAGGUAAUUACUUAUAUCCAGGCCGGACUUUAAUACUCCUCAUUGCUAUCGUAGAUAUCCCAGCGACUAUAAUAAUUAUAAUUUAAAACUUAUAAUUGUUAUAUAUCAAUAAUCAAUAAUAUAUAAUAUGUGAAGAACAAACAUAUCUAUUAUUAUAAUUUUUUUAUUUUUUCCUUUUCAACAAUAUACCAUAACGAUUUUUUUUUUACAAAUGCAAAAACUAGCGAACGUAAACCUUUUUUCCGACCGAAAAUUUUUUCUAGUCAAAAUUAUUUUCAGAAUUUACGUUGAAGCCAAACAGUUCCUGCAUUUGGUUGGAUAGGAUAUUCCGACAAGCGAGAUAUCUCCUUUAUCCCCCAAAACACAAGGGCAGGCUUAACGGGUUAUUCGGAAGGUAACCUGUUGAGCCCAGUUCCCUUGCACAUGUGAGAACAACACGGGAACAAAAAAAAUCUUUGGGCGUCUUUUUCUUUUAGCCUAUCUUGCCCUUUUAUUUUCUUUAUCUUAUAUUUUAAUUAAUUCAAAUAAUAUCAAAUUGAAUGCUCAAUUUUAUUGCUUACUAAAUUAAUAUUUCUAAGGUGUUUCGUAAACAUAUCAAAUUUUUGAAAUAAUUUGCUCUUCUAUAUUUAAAUUAUAAUAUUAUUAUAUUUAAUAUCUUUAAUUAGUUUCAAAUAUAAAAUUGGAAGUAUAUUUUUACUGUUAUAUUCAAAAUUAUAUUAUUAUAUAUUAAUUAUAUUUCUAUUCAUAUAUAUUGAAUUAUAUUUUAUUAUUAUAUUCAAGGGUAUAAUUGUCAUUUUACUUAAUUUUUAUCAAUUCAAUACCUUAUUUCAAUAUAAACAUCCAAACACAAUAUAGAGAUAUCCUCUAGAACAAACAAAUAACAUCCAAAUGUAAUUUAGAACUUGUUCUAGUUUAUUCUAGAAUAUUCUCUGUUCUCGAUAACAACUUAAAGUUAUUUUUCAAAAUUUAGUUGUCGGACAAAACGCAGGAUUUAUGUUUUUUUUUUUUUUUUUUUUUUUUGAGAGAUGGGUAGCACGCUACCCGUUUCGUUUAUUUCAUUUAGAAAUAAACUUAGCUAAAAAUUUGAAUCAAUUAGGAUUUAAAUUUAGGUCUCGGAUACCAACCAACGAGCCCUUUGCCACUUGCGGACGGUCGGUAGGGUUUAGGGUUAUUAUUCGCGAAUUAUUCGUUAAAAUUAGGAUUUAAAUUUAGGUCUCGGAUACCAACCAACGAGCCCUUUGCCACUUGCGGACGGUCGGUAGGGUUUAGGGUUAUUAUUCGCGAAUUAUUCGUUAAAAUUAGGAUUUAAAUUUAGGUCUCGGAUACCAACCAACGAGCCCUUUGCCACUUGCGGACGGUCGGUAGGGUUUAGGGUUAUUAUUCGCGAAUUAUUCGUUAAAAUUAGGAUUUAAAUUUAGGUCUCGGAUACCAACCAACGAGCCCUUUGCCACUUGCGGACGGUCGGUAGGGUUUAGGGUUAUUAUUCGCGAAUUAUUCGUUAAAAUUAGGAUUUAAAUUUAGGUCUCGGAUACCAACCAACGAGCCCUUUGCCACUUGCGGACGGUCGGUAGGGUUUAGGGUUAUUAUUCGCGAAUUAUUCGUUAAAAUUAGGAUUUAAAUUUAGGUCUCGGAUACCAACCAACGAGCCCUUUGCCACUUGCGGACGGUCGGUAGGGUUUAGGGUUAUUAUUCGCGAAUUAUUCGUUAAAAUUAGGAUUUAAAUUUAGGUCUCGGAUACCAACCAACGAGCCCUUUGCCACUUGCGGACGGUCGGUAGGGUUUAGGGUUAUUAUUCGCGAAUUAUUCGUUAAAAUUAGGAUUUAAAUUUAGGUCUCGGAUACCAACCAACGAGCCCUUUGCCACUUGCGGACGGUCGGUAGGGUUUAGGGUUAUUAUUCGCGAAUUAUUCGUUAAAAUUAGGAUUUAAAUUUAGGUCUCGGAUACCAACCAACGAGCCCUUUGCCACUUGCGGACGGUCGGUAGGGUUUAGGGUUAUUAUUCGCGAAUUAUUCGUUAAAAUUAGGAUUUAAAUUUAGGUCUCGGAUACCAACCAACGAGCCCUUUGCCACUUGCGGACGGUCGGUAGGGUUUAGGGUUAUUAUUCGCGAAUUAUUCGUUAAAAUUAGGAUUUAAAUUUAGGUCUCGGAUACCAACCAACGAGCCCUUUGCCACUUGCGGACGGUCGGUAGGGUUUAGGGUUAUUAUUCGCGAAUUAUUCGUUAAAAUUAGGAUUUAAAUUUAGGUCUCGGAUACCAACCAACGAGCCCUUUGCCACUUGCGGACGGUCGGUAGGGUUUAGGGUUAUUAUUCGCGAAUUAUUCGUUAAAAUUAGGAUUUAAAUUUAGGUCUCGGAUACCAACCAACGAGCCCUUUGCCACUUGCGGACGGUCGGUAGGGUUUAGGGUUAUUAUUCGCGAAUUAUUCGUUAAAAUUAGGAUUUAAAUUUAGGUCUCGGAUACCAACCAACGAGCCCUUUGCCACUUGCGGACGGUCGGUAGGGUUUAGGGUUAUUAUUCGCGAAUUAUUCGUUAAAAUUAGGAUUUAAAUUUAGGUCUCGGAUACCAACCAACGAGCCCUUUGCCACUUGCGGACGGUCGGUAGGGUUUAGGGUUAUUAUUCGCGAAUUAUUCGUUAAAAUUAGGAUUUAAAUUUAGGUCUCGGAUACCAACCAACGAGCCCUUUGCCACUUGCGGACGGUCGGUAGGGUUUAGGGUUAUUAUUCGCGAAUUAUUCGUUAAAAUUAGGAUUUAAAUUUAGGUCUCGGAUACCAACCAACGAGCCCUUUGCCACUUGCGGACGGUCGGUAGGGUUUAGGGUUAUUAUUCGCGAAUUAUUCGUUAAAAUUAGGAUUUAAAUUUAGGUCUCGGAUACCAACCAACGAGCCCUUUGCCACUUGCGGACGGUCGGUAGGGUUUAGGGUUAUUAUUCGCGAAUUAUUCGUUAAAAUUAGGAUUUAAAUUUAGGUCUCGGAUACCAACCAACGAGCCCUUUGCCACUUGCGGACGGUCGGUAGGGUUUAGGGUUAUUAUUCGCGAAUUAUUCGUUAAAAUUAGGAUUUAAAUUUAGGUCUCGGAUACCAACCAACGAGCCCUUUGCCACUUGCGGACGGUCGGUAGGGUUUAGGGUUAUUAUUCGCGAAUUAUUCGUUAAAAUUAGGAUUUAAAUUUAGGUCUCGGAUACCAACCAACGAGCCCUUUGCCACUUGCGGACGGUCGGUAGGGUUUAGGGUUAUUAUUCGCGAAUUAUUCGUUAAAAUUAGGAUUUAAAUUUAGGUCUCGGAUACCAACCAACGAGCCCUUUGCCACUUGCGGACGGUCGGUAGGGUUUAGGGUUAUUAUUCGCGAAUUAUUCGUUAAAAUUAGGAUUUAAAUUUAGGUCUCGGAUACCAACCAACGAGCCCUUUGCCACUUGCGGACGGUCGGUAGGGUUUAGGGUUAUUAUUCGCGAAUUAUUCGUUAAAAUUAGGAUUUAAAUUUAGGUCUCGGAUACCAACCAACGAGCCCUUUGCCACUUGCGGACGGUCGGUAGGGUUUAGGGUUAUUAUUCGCGAAUUAUUCGUUAAAAUUAGGAUUUAAAUUUAGGUCUCGGAUACCAACCAACGAGCCCUUUGCCACUUGCGGACGGUCGGUAGGGUUUAGGGUUAUUAUUCGCGAAUUAUUCGUUAAAAUUAGGAUUUAAAUUUAGGUCUCGGAUACCAACCAACGAGCCCUUUGCCACUUGCGGACGGUCGGUAGGGUUUAGGGUUAUUAUUCGCGAAUUAUUCGUUAAAAUUAGGAUUUAAAUUUAGGUCUCGGAUACCAACCAACGAGCCCUUUGCCACUUGCGGACGGUCGGUAGGGUUUAGGGUUAUUAUUCGCGAAUUAUUCGUUAAAAUUAGGAUUUAAAUUUAGGUCUCGGAUACCAACCAACGAGCCCUUUGCCACUUGCGGACGGUCGGUAGGGUUUAGGGUUAUUAUUCGCGAAUUAUUCGUUAAAAUUAGGAUUUAAAUUUAGGUCUCGGAUACCAACCAACGAGCCCUUUGCCACUUGCGGACGGUCGGUAGGGUUUAGGGUUAUUAUUCGCGAAUUAUUCGUUAAAAUUAGGAUUUAAAUUUAGGUCUCGGAUACCAACCAACGAGCCCUUUGCCACUUGCGGACGGUCGGUAGGGUUUAGGGUUAUUAUUCGCGAAUUAUUCGUUAAAAUUAGGAUUUAAAUUUAGGUCUCGGAUACCAACCAACGAGCCCUUUGCCACUUGCGGACGGUCGGUAGGGUUUAGGGUUAUUAUNCCCCCCCCCAGUUUUCAGAUGCAUAAUAGGAAUGGAUUUAAUUAAAGAAAACAUGCUGCUCCGUUUGAUUGUAGUGUGUGAUAUGUUCUUAAUUAGAUGGCUUAUACGGAAGAGGUUGUUGCUUAGCUUUCGAGGUUGAGUUAAGAGGUGUACAAGGCCCACAUUUGUGAAUAAUGUUGAUCUGGAUGCUAGCUAGGAACCUUUUCUAAUCUUGUUGAAGUGAUGAGCGUUCGUAAUUUGUUGUGGGAUAAGAUUUAUGUUUCAAUUGAUGAGCAACUCACUAUGUUCUACGUACAGUAGGCCACAACAAAAAAAAUAAAACUCUGAAAAUAGUGUUUGUUUGUUCAGACGAGACCUUCGUUUGUAGGUCACUAUUUUGUUGAAUGGUUCUUUAAUAUGGUUUCAACAUACAGGAGGCAUCGCGUAGUAGCUUCUCUCUCAAUCGACGAGCAAUCCCCUCUCUUUUUCCUUCUCCAACCCAAAAAAAGAUAAUCAAUUCUCUGCUAUAAUGGGCGAAAGUGAUGACACGCAAAUACUUACUAGGUGGAGCACUUUACUCUUUCGUCACUGUAAAUCGAUCCCUCUCUUAGCAAUAUUCAGUAGUUUCCACUAAUUUCACUAUAUCGAUGGUUUGACAGGUGCAGAGAAGAAGGUCCUCGCCUCCUUGCUGUGCUGAAGGAAAUGAAGGAUGGAUUAGAUGCCGUGAGGAGCAAAGUUGAAGCCCUUACCCUUAAGGUAAAUUAAAGUUAAAUGGUAUCUCUAUUGUGGUCGAAUGGCCGUGCACUUGUUCUCAGAAAUCUGCUUCGAUGUGAGAAUUCUUAUUAGGACAUUGUGUUUGCCGGUGAAAUUUCUAGGAAAGAGAGAAAUAUGCAGUAAAAAGAUAGGCUAAUUUUUNNNNNNNNNNNNNNNNNNNNNNNNNNNNNNNNNNNNNNNNNNNNNNNNNNNNNNNNNNNNNNNNNNNNNNNNNNNNNNNNNNNNNNNNNNNNNNNNNNNNUUAAGAUUACUGAAUUUUAUAAAAUGAACCAAACAUAAUAAUUUUAUUUAUUAUAAUCGAGUCUGGCUACUAUACUUUUACGAGUAUAGAGCCUCUUGUACUCAUAAGUUUUUUGCCGUUUGAUCUAACCUUUAAUCAUUUUUAUCCGUUAGAUUAUACUAUUCAACCAACAACCCACUCAACCCUAGGGGGCCAACUAUAAACCUAACCGUAACCACUCUUAUCCUAACCGCACAUUUUUUAUCUGAACGGUCAAAAAGUUAUGAGUAUAAAGGGCUCUAUACUCAUAUGAGUAUAGUAGCCACAACCAUAGUUAGUUAAUUCGCGAAUUAUUCGCGAAUUUUUGAAAUACCGAAUAAAACUCCCGUUUUCGUAUUUUUCCCAAAAAUUCGGAAUAAUUCGCGUUUUUUUGGGUAAGAGGAAUUAUUCGCGAAUUAAACUGGAUUCGCGAAUAAUUCGGCCCAAAAAAUCGGCCCAGAAUCAGGUUUGCCUCGCCCCAAAACCCACUCUGCCUCAGGGCCCUCACGGCCUCACCCUGUCGCCCAAAAGGCCGAAAAAAAAAAAAAAAACAAAAACAAAAACAAAAACCUUUUGAAAAGAAUCGCUCCCCUCCCACGAGUUCCCAAAAAAGGGUUUGCCCUAACUUCUCACACCUGACCCCUGCGGCGGUGCGGCCUGCCACCGACCCCUGCGGCGGUCGCCCUCUUCCCUUCCGGCCGGUCGUCGAACGCCAUCGCGGAAGCCCUCCUCUUCAGAAAUCGAAGACCGAAGAUCGGGUCCUUCACUCUUCAGAAAUCGAAACCCUCCUCGUCGCCUCUUCCUCUUCCGCUUCCGCUUCCGCUUCCGCUAUCCAACGGUAGAUCAGUAAUCGGGUGGUUCUUUACAAACCAGGUACGAUUUGAGUUUUCGGUGGUUCUUCAAAGCAAAAGUUGCAAGCGUUUAGUCCAUCUGAUGGAUACUUUUUUAUACACAAAUGGCUGAGUGCUUAAUUGAAUGUGUCCAUUCUCUGUUAUGCACAAAGAAGACCCAAACAUAGUGCUAAAUAAUAAUCUUAAUUAACUUAGGGACCAGGAACUCUUGUAUUAUACCUAGUCAAUUUCAUGAUCUUGUCGUCACUUGCAAAAGGAAAAUUUUGUUGUGGUCUUUCAUGGACAAUUGACUCAGUGGGGUUUCUACUUAAUUUUUGAAACAUAACUUUUUAGUAUUAGAAAUGCAGCAUUUUUUCACUAUAUAAUGAGAAGAUCUGGAGAAUAAGANACCCAUAUAAUAACCGACCGUCCCUAAAGCAAGUAGCAAAGGGCUUGGUGGUUGGUAUCCGAGGUCCCAGGUUCGAAUCCUAGUUGAUUCACAUUUUCAGCUAAGUUUAUUUCUAAAUAAAAUAAACGAAGCGGAUAGCGUGCUAUCUAUCUCUCUCAAAAAAAAAAAAAAACCACCCAUAUAAUAGGGGACAAAAAAAAAAAAUUAGAGUUGAGAUCCAUGUAUAAUACAUAGCGUAUAACACUUCUAUUUAUUUAUUUUUUUUUUAGAGAUAGGUAGUAUGCUACCCACUUCGUUUAUUUUAUUUAGAAAUAAAUUUAGUAAAAUAUGAACCAAGUAGGAUUCGAACUUGGAAUCUCGGAUACCAACCACUAAGCCCUUUGCCACUUGUACUAGGGACGGUCGGUAACAUCUCUUUUUGUUUAAACACCAUUUCUAUAUAUAAUCAACAAUAUUAUCCUGAUUAGACUCUUAUUUAUACCCUUGACAUAAUAUAAUUGAUAUGAAAUAUAUCCUAUGUAUUGUAACUGUUAUAAAGAAGACUUUUUUUUCGCUUGAUAUUUGUGCGCUAAUUUGGACCCGAUCGAG
rnacentral:lncRNA from 1 species